rnacentral:lncRNA from 1 species
AUUAAUUCCUUCUCCUAAUUGCCAUUACCGAACUUAUUCUCAAGAUCUUUCACUACCUUUGGGUCCAACUGGAAUGCCUUGGCAAGAAAAUCGGGUUUGAUUCGAGGAUGGGCUCCAAAGAUCGUGUCGGCUAUGGUAAUUUCACCGGGGAACUGGCUGUUUAGACCAGAAUAGGCAACUGCACUUGUGUUUCCAAUGUUGACAUGGAAGUGAAUCAAACCAAUUGGAAACACAAAAACAUCUCACUCAUGCAGAACUUUUGUGAUGAGUGUGUUAUUUAGGUUGUCUGAUGUCACAAAACCAGAAUAAAGAGUUCCUUCCAGGACCAACAGUAUUUCGCUGGCACGGGGGUGAAUGUGAGGCGGGCUUUGCCCAUUCGGCGCAUAGUCAAUACGGAAUGCUGAUACGCCAAGGGUGUUGUCCUGGAAUUUGCUCAACAUUUGCAUGUGUUUCAUUAACACCAAGUCGAUUUGUUGUGUUUCCAGGCUUGUUUAGCCCUGACAAGAAGAAAUCUUCAGCUGUCGCAAGCUUGGGGUCCUUGCAGAACUUCCCAUUCACAAACACUACAAGAACACACACACACAUACACACACAAAGGGGGAAAAAAAGAAUAAUUAACUAGCAGCACAAAUUAUAUUGAAAAUUAUAUGUUUCAUCAGUUCAGCUUACGUACCACCAUCCUUCGGGUCAUCGAUGGCUACACAGAUAUCUUGAAGAAGGCUAGGGUCAUAGGCAGGGGCCAAAGAAGAAGCCAAAGCCAAGAGAGCAAAACCUAUAAGAAAUUGAAUUGCCUUCAUGGUGAUUAAUUAACAGGAUGUACUUAUAUCUCAAACUAUAAUCAAGUGUUGUGAUUUGAGAAUAAUGCGAGGGAAACUAGCCUAUUUAUAGAAGGGAGUCCGUGAACGAGUCUGUGUCAAUUUCUUAGGACUCGAAGCAGGUCAAGACUUACUGAGUCCCAAUUGGUUAUCUUUCUUUUAAUUUAUAUUUUGAAGACAAUAUGUUUAAUCAAUGUACACAAUUGCCAUAUUUGACUAUAAUAAAUUAAAUUUUUGCCUACUUGGUCUAUGACAUAGUUUUUAACAUGGACAUAAUCAUUGCCCCCUUUAAGAGAAGAUUAUUCCAUUUGAUACUCAUUUUUUUAGCAGCAAUGUUACUGCAUAAAAUUUUAUACCAUCUUCGAAAAAUUGUUGAACACUCUCUAUAAAUUGUUUUAACCAUAUGAAGGCCUUGAUUGGUUGUUAUCGUGGUUAGGCCUUUGUAGCCUAAGAGCUAUAUAUUUUAUCUUAUACUUUAUGAUGAAAAUCAUAUAAUAUUUUUAUUAUUUUUUGUUAAAAUUAUUAUUUAAAAGUUAUUUGUUAUAUACUAUCAAUUUUUAUUUGAUACUUAUAAUUUUUUUUAUAACAACUAUAACAUUUUUGAACUACAAUAUCUCAAUAUCAAACAAAACAUGAAUUAAAACAUAAUAGAGAGAACGAAGACAUGAAUUAAAAAGUUCCAAUCAAGAGUGUCAAAAGCAUUUUUAAUGUCAAUCUUCAAGGCAACAUUCCCUCCAUGACUCUUGCGAUUGAGCAGAUUAAUUCAUUCAGAAAUAGAGCUGAGACACUCAUGAAUGUCUGUCCUUGAUGAAAACCGUUUGUUGAGACGAGAUAAUGUUAGGAAGCAAAGAACUUAAUAUGUCAGCAAGAAUUUUAAAAAGUACACAUCCAACGAAAGUUUUCGUAGUAUGAUAGUUUUGUGCAGUAACAUUAGUUUUAUAUGUAACUAUGACACCAAACAUCACUCAUUUAUCUUAAUUACCUUGUACAUGUGGUAUAAAAUCUUUAAAAACUCAAGAGAAAUUAAAUUAAAAACUCUAGGAUAAAUUAAAAAAAUUAAAAACUAGGGAUAAAUUAAAUUAAAAGAGGAUCCUAUUUCCUUGAUCUGAAUUCUCAUGAUCUUUUAAAGAUUUGUACCGCAUAUCCCUUAGUGCUGGUAUAUAAUUAUGUUUUAACUACUUUUAUUUUUUAAUUUAUUAACCACCAGUAAAUUGAGUAUAUUUAAAUUUUUAACUUAGGAACAUAUCAGAUUAUGAAAGGAUUCUAAUCCCUCAAAAAAACAUAAAAUACAGUUGUCCAGUAAUUUUUAUAAAAUUAUUUUCCUGUAGGACUAAUAUCUGCAAAAUAUUGAAGUAUAUGCAAUUGGACAAUUAAGGGCUGUUCGGAAUGUCUUGCAGCCCUCGUUUUCAUUUUUGUUUUCAAAAUUUACGUGUACAACUUGUUCGGUGGGUCACAUCUUAGAUGCAAAUUGUAAAACAUACAAAACAAAGCCUGGCUGACUGUAAUAAAACCCAAAACAGGUUAUACACGUUUCCGCUAAUCUUCUAAACGAACCAUAAAAUAAAAUAAGAAACAAUAUUUUAACGCCUUUUCGAAAGCAUAAUUAAAGUAUAAUUUUUUCCUCUCAUCUUCUUCCUUUCUCUCCCUUACCAAGUUAUACAUGUCACUGCUUUUUCCAUUUUUAUCCAUCAUUUUUUCAAUUGACUUUGUACUUUUCUUCAAUUUACUCAACUCAUUUGAGAAAACGAGUUAAAGAAUUUAUGAAAAUGGGUGAGAAAGAAAUUCAUAUCUCUGGCAACAGACUAACAGUUGGGAGUCAUGUUCCGUGGAUAUCGAUGUUACCGGACUUGAUUGGUUUGUUGUUGGACUUAAUGGAGAGCCACUAUUAGCCUUUUUGUUUUUCCUUUUCAUAGCAAUUUUGGUAGGUGCUUUGAGCAUUCUUAGUUCUAUAAAUGCUUUACCAAGUCAAUGAUGCGCAUGUUUUUUUUCAUUGCGCGUUGAAGUCAUCAAAUCAUCUGCUUCAAGAAAAAACGUGAAUACUGGGAUCAGAAGGAACCAAAAUUCUUCCAUCUUAUUUUCAGUGGUCAGGUUAAUUCGAAGCUGGAGCCGGAACUUUUUGUUAGAGGUAGUGAUAUCCUUUUACAAUGACAAUUGGUAUAUAUAUAAUUUAAAGUUUAAAAGUUAAUUUUAAUGUUUGCUAAAUUUUUUAAAAAAUUUAUUUUUAAUAAAAUCAUCUUAUCUUACACCAGAUUUAAAAAAAUAAAAAAAGUAGUUUUUUAAAAUCGGAUUUCGAGAAUCACUUUUAUAAUUGUUAUCAAUUAUAUUGAGAUAAUAAAAUAAAAAAUACGAUUAAUAAUAUAAAAUAUUUAUUUUAGUUAUCAAUUAUUAUAUAUACACAACUAAAAAUAUUUUAUUUAUAUGUUUAUAAAUGUGUAAAUAAAUUUUAUUUAACAAUAUAUUCAAUUCAUUCAUUUACAUUCCUACAACAUUUUAAUAUUAACAUUUACCAAACACAUGAUUAAUUGAUUCUUUAUAUAGCUUAUUAUUUUUAUAGUGUGACUAACAUUAAUUAUUUUAAAAGUUAUAACAUUAUUUUUAUAGUGUAACUUAAUUGAUUAAAAUUAAGUUAUUUAAAUCAUUAAGUUACGAAAACAGACAACCCUUUAGUAAAUUUCUUAAUGUAAAUAUUAGUAAAUUAUAAUGCAAACAAAAAUAAUAAUCUCUUAUGUCUUCACUUUUUUAAUUAAAAUUAGUUUCAUUAUCUAUUUUGAAUAACAAACUGAAUUGAUCACGAAAUAAUAAUCUCUUCUUCCAAUCAUAUGAGUGGGUUUGAGUCACUCAGGUAUAGAGAUGGCCAAUGGGUCGGGCCGGCAGCAAGGCCUAUGCAUGCUUGUGCCCAUGUUGUGUCAUGCCCACUAUAUGUUUCGUGCUGUGCCAUGUCCACUCGUGCUGUGCCCACACGUGUCGUGCCUAAAAAAAAAAAAGCCCAAUAAGCUUUUUUUCUUUUUUUUCUUAAAUUUUUUAAGAGCGCAUGCCAAGCUAUUAGCAUACUUUUUUCAAGUCUAUAUACUUUUUUUAGGUAUAUGCCUUUAUUCAAAUUUAAUAGAAUCAAAAUUCAAAACUCAAGUCCAUAUUCAAUAAAAAUAAAUUAAUAAUCGUAAGAGAACGUAAUAUUAAUUACUAAAUUUGACUUCAUAGUAUUAGAUUUUUUUUAAUACUUAACAACAACAACAACAACAACAAUAAUAAUAAUACUGAUAAAUUUUUCUUAAGGGUUAACUUAAAUGUUAACUUGGACUUACAUGGAGUUAUAGAUCAUAGUACACAAUAAUAUUAAUGCAUAUUUAUAAAAUCAUGAUAUUUAUAAUUUUAUUCAUUAAAAAAAUAUUUAUUUAAUAAAUUAUCAAUAUAAACCAAUUAUAGUAUUUUUUUAAACUAAGAAUUAAAUGAAUUUAAAAAUUCAAUUUCAGGUUAUUUGUAAAAUCAUAAAAUUUUAAGUGUAUUUUCAUUAAAAAAAUAAAACGUGCUUAUUGUGAGCUUUUUCAUUGUGCCGUACUUAGCCCAUCUCUAAUCGUGUCGUGCUUUUAAGGCUCGCAUGCCUAAAAUUCUAAGCCCGGCCCAACCCACGUGCAUGCCGUGCUGUGCCGCGUGCCCCACAGAAGCGUGCUCGUGUUGUGCUAUGCUAUACGGACAUGUGUCGUGUCACGUGCCCAUUGGCCAUCUCUACUCAGGUAGUCGUGGGAAUUUGUUUUCUUUGAUUUCUACGCUUGGCUUUUUAGAAUUAUUUGUAAGGGCAUUAAUUGUGUAUUUUUAAUGGGUUUAUAUGUUAAUUAUAUUGUAUGUAGUAUUAAAGGUUUGUCAACCAAACUAGCAACCAUUUAAUUAGUUAAAAUGCAUUCAUGUCAGUAUUUAAGAUACGUAUCACUUUCCGACAACCAUGUUAAUAUAUGUUUCCGUUCGAACUUUCCACUCGCUGCUUGACCCAUGUAAGUUAUAAAAAAGUUUCUGAGAAAAUGAAAAAAUAAUCCAUGGCCAUGGAAAUAAUAAAACGCCGCCAGGAGUAUUGUAUAAUUCUAGGAGCGAUUUAUCAUUUCUUUUUCCUUUUUGCUUUUUAUUUCAACAAUUUAUUAUUGACUAGUGUAUUGCAGGCUUGCGGCAAUUAAGUGUUUGGAUCAUUUAUCCCCCUUUUUUUCAAAUAUAAGCCAGAUAUAACUCCAGAUUAUGCUGGUAGAAACAUCGUCUCAAAGAUUCUAUUGGGUUAUCAAUAGCUGUAUAUGAGUGUAUCUUGAAGAGGGCUAAUUUUUCUAGGAUAUGCUGCUAGAAAAUUUUGCAGCACGUAACUACUAUGAAUUAGUCUUUGUUGUUUAAUUAAGACUCUAAUCUUCCUUUCUAGAAUGCAAGAUAAAAAAUUAAGCUAGAAACAUUAUAUCAAAGUAAUGAAUAGUUACACAUUUUUGUUAAAUAUAAUUCUAGACUUUCCGGUCACACAUUUUACCGUUUAGUCCAUAAUUUUUCAAAAUACCUAUUGCAUUUCUAAUAUUAUACUUUUAUGUUCGAAUUACUCUGUUGAAGUAUACAUGAGACUUUUUACCAUAUAGCACCCUCCAUACCUUUUAGCGGGGGAAUUAAAAAAAAAAAAAAAAAAAGAGCGCAUCAUAUUAGACAAAGUGCAUGUUUGUAUGACUUAUUUAAUGGUCAUAAGUACUUAUUUAAUAUCAUAAGUUCCUUUUUAAAUUAGGGGUGUUCGCGGAUCGAAUUUUACAAAUUGGAUAUCAAUCCAUAUCCGAUCCAUGAUUUUGUGAAUUAUAAAUUUUUAAUCCAAUACGAUCCACGGAUUGAUGAACUCAAUCCAAAUUCAAUCAAUACGUCUGAGGAUCAGAUGCGGAUUUGACUCAAUUAUCCAUAUCCAAUCCACAAUUUUACGGAUUGGUUUGCAGAUUAAAAAUUUUUAAUUAUGUCUUAUCUACGAACUAACUAAAUAAAAAAAUUAAUAUAAAAAUAAGUUUACUACUGAUCAAAUUCAAAAUUAAAUAAGAUUUAAAUAAAUUAAUUGUUUAAAUAAAGUUAGAAAAUACUUUUAAAGUUUCAAAAUAUAAUACGUCAAAAAGAAAAAAAUCAUUUGUUUAUAUCAGUAUAUAAAAAUUAACUACUUAGUUAUAUAUAUAUAUAUAUAUAUAUAUAUAUAUAUAUAUAUAUAUAUAUAUAUAUAUAUAUAUAUAUAUUGCGGAUUCACGGAUUUUUUACGGAUUUAUAGAAGUAAAUCCAUAUCCAAUCCACCGAUUACGGAUUUCCAAAUUUUCAAUCCAAUCUAAUCCAUCAAUCCACGAAUCACAUUUUUUACGAAUCAGAUUUCUACGGAUUAGAUGGAUUGAGCGGAUCGGAUUGGAUUCUGAACACCCUAUUUAAAAUUAUUGUUGUUAUUUGAUUGUAUUUUAAGUAGAGUUUUUAAGAAUUAAGUAAACUCUUUUGUCUCAACUAGUAAAAACUUAAAUUUUGAGCUUUAAGACGUAAAGGUUGGAGGGCCCUUUUCAAAAGUUAAAUUGACUAAAAUGUUCCGUUAUUUAUUUCACAAUAUAAUGACAUCCCUUUCAUAACUUUAAAACUUGUCUAUUAAAAUGAUUUUAUAUAAUUUUUAAUAAUGCUCUCAGUGACAACUAAACAAUUAAAUUUUUUUGAUAACAUUCUACUUGUAAAACUUUUAUUAAUAAAAGCUUUAUUUGAAUAAGCCUUAUCAUAAAACUUUACCAAACAAAGCCUAAUAAUAAGAUUAUAAUAGUAGAAGAAUUCAAAAAAUGUAUUCUUAAUAUUACAAGUUUACAAUUAUUAAGUUGGGAAUGAAAUAGGUAUGUUUAAAAUUACAUUGAUUACUUGGUCACUGAUGAGGUGAGGAUUGGAUGGCCACAUUUAACUUUUGAUGAAUUGUGUCAUUACUGCUUUUCUAACAUGUCUCUAUUGAAAAGUCAAAAUAGCUUUUUGACAUGCAUAACCUUCUAGCCGCAAUAUUGGAAAUAUUGAUGAAGCAUGUGGAUGGAAUCAUGGAAAAUGAAGCCAAAUGAGUUGGUGAAGCAUGUGACAGUUUGACAAAUUCACAACAACUUUAACAAUUUGGCAAAUUGUUGGUGAGCGCCGAAUUUAUAAUAGUGCAAAAUACUUCCUAUAAAUAGAGGGAGUUUUUCAUUUGUUAAGCAUCCCAAAAAUUUGUUAAGCUUAUAAGUUUCUAAGCUUUUGAGAGUCCUGAGAGUGUGAGCAAUUGGAGAGUGUGUGUGAGAGUACUGGGUGUAUUUGGAUUCUCGAAAAGUGAGGUUUCUUUACUCAAAUUUGUACUCAAAAGAUAAUUGUUAAUAAUACAAUUAUUUUUCUCUUGCUCCCGCGGACGUAGGCAUAUUGCCGAACCACGUAAUUCUUGUGUCCUUUAUUUUUCUAUGAUUAUUCGGUGCGCUUGAUUCCCAUUCCGCGCACAACAAGUGAUAUCAGAGCCGACAGUUCGUACUUAGGGGAUACGACAUUGUUCACGUAUACGGUACUGUUCACGAAUAUGGUGGAGACGACCAUUUAUACUUGGGAGACAAUCUAUUGUAAGUAGUGUGUAUUUUUUCAUGUCUAGGAAAGUUCUAUCAACAAGGCGAUAAGAGUCUAAGGAUUCUGGUUUUUAAUUGGGAUCGAGUUCCCGUCCAGUUUCCUGGGAACUUUCCUAGUGCAUUUAUUCAAGCAAAAUUAACAUCAUAGUGACUGUUUUUCAAGUGAAAAUAAGUCGUUGAGAAAAUGAUAAAAGGUAAAACUUCCAAAAUUGGGGAGAGAUCUACCGAUACUAUUUCAGGAGACACUUCAGGUGGGAGGCGAGAUUUGUCAAAUCGCUAUUCUAUUUAGCACUUGUUAUAGGAGGCCAGAAAAUCGAUGUUGAAAAGUUUGAUGGGAAAAUCAACUUCGGCAUGUGGAGGCGCGAAGUUAUGGAUGCCCUUAUUCAAAUCGAUCUCGAUGUUGUUCUGAAAAAUAAAAGAGAUAUGUAUGAUGAAGAAAUUUAGGAUCGUAUGAACGAGAAAGCUUGUGGUCAAAUCAAAUCUUGUUUGACCAAAGAGGUGAAAUACUUGGUGAAAGAUGAGGAGUGUACGAUGACUUUGUGGUGUACAUUGGAGGAGAAGUGCCUGCUGAAAAGUCCUGAAAAUCGUCUUCAUGUAAUGAGCCAAGUAUAUGGCUUUCGAAUGAAGCCUGAGGUGUCAAUGCAUGAUCAUGUCUCAAGAUUGAAAAGUUACUUGCUGAUUUGAAAAAUUUUGAUGAAAAUAUUAAGGAUGAAGUCAAGGCUAUGAUUUUGUUACACUUACUAUCAGAGGAAUAUAGCCAUUUUGUGACUACCUUGAUAUAUGAGAAGAGUGUGAUCGUCUUCGAAGAUGUUUGCACAACAUUGACUAACUUGGAGAUUCAGAAUAAUGAUAAAAUUUCUAAACGAGCAUCGUCUGAAGCUUUGGUGAGCAGAGAUUGGGCAAUGGAGAAAAAGAAGAAGCGUGGUGGAAAGAAUUCUCGAUCCAAAUCGAGAAGCAGAAAUAUAGCUGGAGAUGAGUGUGUCUUUUGUCAUGAAAAGGGCCAUUGGAGGAAAGAUUGUCCAAAGGCUCAAAAGAGAGAUGGAAAGAAACCAGCAGCAGUAAACAUGACACGUAAAGAUGAGGACUCUGAUUAUUCACGAAGUAUUACUCCUGUAGCAUACGUGGCUAGUUCGAGUGAGUGGAUACUUGAUACUGGAGCAACCUAUCAUUUGUGUCAUAUUAAGGAAUGGUUUACGAAUUUUCAUAAUUUGGAAUCUGGUACAGUUGUGAUGAGGAAUGAUCAACCUUGUCGCAUAAUAGGGAUAUGAACAAUUCGGCUCAAAAUGUUUGAUGGAAUGGUCAGAAAACUGAAAAAUGUUAGAUAUUUUCUAACUUUAAAGAAAAAUCUAAUUUCGGUGGGUGCUCUAGAAGCUAAAGGCUACAAGGUUACUAUUGAAAAUAGCAUAAUGAAGUUCACGUAUGGGGCUAUGGUGAUUGUGCAAGGGGUUUGGCAUCACAAUUUGUACUAUUUGAAGGGAGAUACAACUGAUGAAGUAAAUGUUGCUGAGGCGUACAGUGACACCACCAAGCUAUGGCAUGUACGACUGGAACAUAUUGGAGAGAAGUUUUUACAAACUCUGAUGAAGCAAAGACUCUUAAAAUGUACCAAAACCUGUAAAUUAAAUUUCUAUGAGUAUUGUGUAGUACGCUAGAAAACAAGGGUCAAGUUUGGUACAGCUAAUCACGAUACUCGUGAGAUCCUUGAAUAUGUUCACAGUGAUGUAUUGGGACCAACCAAGACUGCAUCAAUUGCUGGAAGCUAUUAUUUUGUUACAUUUCUCUAGACAUGUGUGGGUGUACGCCAUGCGAGCAAAUGAUGAGAUUCUAGAGAUUUUCGUGAAAUAGAAGAAAUUAGUGAAGACUCAAACUGGUAGAAAGAUCAAAGUAUUACGAUCUGAUAAUGGAGGUGAAUAUACUUCUAAUCCAUUCUUGCAAAUAUGCAGAACGAGGGUAUUAAAAAACAUUUCACGGUGAGACAUACUCCGCAACAUAACGGUGUGGCUGAGCGUAUGAAUCGUACUUUGCUGGAGAAAGUACGAUGUAUGUUAUCUAAUGCUGGUUUAGAUAAAAAGUUUUAAGCUGAGGCUGUGAGUUACGCAAGUCACUUAAUAAAUUGAUUGCCUUCUGUUGUAAUUGGAGGUAAAACUCCUAUGGAAAUGUGUUCUAGAAAGCAUGCACAAGACUAUGAUUCCCUUCGUAUAUUCAGGUGUUCAGCUUAUUAUCACGUCAAAGAUGGUAAAUUGGAUCCUCGUGCUAGAAAAGCUAUCUUUGUGGGAUUCAAAAGUGGAGUAAAAGGCUUCAAGCUUUGGGAUAUCGAAGACAAAAAGUUUGUGCGUAGCAGAGAUGUUACGUUUGAUGAAGCUUCAAUGAUGAAAACUUCAAGUUCUCAACAAGUGGAGAACAAGACCACAUAGGUAUUGUAGCGGGUGGAGUUUGAUGCAACUCCAUAUGUACCAGUUAGUUCUACAUCAGAGAAUGGUUUAACUAUGGAGGUGACACCUAGAGUUGAAAAAGAUAUUGUUUCUUCUGGUGUCCCACAAAAUGAAGAAACAAAUUAAAUCUUCAUUUUGUGGGACACCAGAAGAAACAAUUGAUGAUGUAAAUAAUGAUGAUUCUUGACACGACUUAAAAGUGUUUGAUUUUCUCCCAAGUAUAAGAGUGCCUAGUUAUAAUAUAUCUCGGUGAAUCCGAGGUCGAACUACAGAGAAAAGAUUUAAUUUGUUUACUGAAGUUUAUCCAAAAAAAAAAUUUAUAAAUAUGUAAUUUAUUUAAGAAAAAGUAUAAAAUUGAAUUAAAAUUAUUUUUAUUUUUAUUUUAUUUCCCAAAAGAUUAAUUGUAUAAAUUAAAAUUAUUUUCCCAUUUAUUUUAUUGUGGAUUAAGAAUUUAAUGUGCCAAAACUUAAUUUGUCUGCACUAAAUCAAAAUACAAUUUUUCCAUAUUUUAUACUAAGAUAUUAAGAAUUUAUUGUGCCAAAUUCCUAUUUUUGUCUACACUAAAUCAAAAUUUCAAAAUAUAAAAUAUGGAUAAAAUUAAAUAGAAAACAAUUUAAUUUAUAAAAUUAAAAAUAGAAUUUGAUUAAACCAUAUUUUUUACUAAGAGUUUCACCUUCCCCUAACUAUGAAUAUUUAGUUAAACAUUUUUGAAAUAAAGGAAAUUAUUACAAUUGAAAAACACAUAAAAAAAUGGAAUUUGAAAAUUGAAAUAAAACUAAUUUUAUUGAUUGAAAAUAUAUUACAAGAGAGAUGAGAAGAAGAAUUUGAGGGGAAAGAAGGGAAGAGAAGGUGUGUAGAGGUGUGUUCACCCCCCCUCUCUAUUUAUACUAAUACAUGAUAAAUCCACACCACACAAAUAAAAAAAUCUAAUUACAUAUUAACCUUACAUUUGUCCCACUAAUAAUUCCACUAAUAAAACAUAAAUCUAACUUAUCAACUCAAGCAUAUACAACACAUUCAACUAAAAAUUACCAUACCUAACAUGAUAAAAACUUAUAAUUUUACAAUUACCACAUUUACCGUGGUAAAAACGUAAAAAUUUACAACAAAAGUCUCAGCUCCUCCUCGACAAUGACAUAAUUUCUUGAACUUCCGGAAUUCAAAUUUGACAUCCAUACAUUUGUUCGGAGCCUCAAAAUGCAUGAAAUUAUUAUUUUUACCUAAUAAACACACAAAAAUACACAAAAUCAAAUAUUUAGAAAAAUAAUUAGAAAUUCACAAUAUGUUAGACAAUUACAAAUAUAAAUUACAUUAAUAGCACAAAAUAACAUUUUUAUCCCUUAAUAAAUAUACAAUUUUUAACACUAAUCAAUUCUAUAGCAAUAAGGAGGCUAAGUAGAGAGAUAAAGAAACUCGGAUGGCUUACUAAAGACAUGGUGGUAACCUAUACACUUCCAGUUAUUGAUAAUGACAUUCCUAGCACUUUCGGUGAAGCAUUACACAGUAGUGAAAGUGAUCAAUGGAAGUUAGCCAUGGAAGAAGAGAUGAAAUCUCUCCAUCAAAACCAGACUUGGGAACUUACCAAAGGGGAAAAGGGCUAUUGGCAAUAAAUGGGUCUACACCAAGAAGCAGGGAUCUCCGAAUCAAUCAACUCCUCGAUAUAAGGCAAGACUCGUUGCAAAAGGUUUUGCUCAGAAGGAAGGUACUGACUACAAUGAAGUUUUCUCUCCAGUUGUAAAACAUACUUCCAUUCAUAUCCUACUUGCCUUAGUUGCACAAUAUGAGUUAGAGUUGGCUCAAUUGGAUGUUAAGACGACAUUCUUACAUAGAGAUUUGGAGGAGAAAAUCUAUAUGACUCAACCUUGUGGUUUCAAAGUUGCUGGAAAGGAGAAUCGUGUGUGCAGAUUGAGUAAAUCUUUAUACAGAUUGAAACUAAUUAUUCGAAUGCGUUGAGUUUGGAGAAUUAUGAACUACGGUUGGCUUGAUCCCAUAUUUUGGGUACGUAGGCAGUCGAAGCGACACAUCCAUUUUGGAUCCUUAUUGAAGGAUUACAUUAGGGAUGAUGGUUCGUUUGUAGUUUGCUCAAAUUUGGACAACUUUUCGCCGAUGUGGAGAAUUGUUGAAAAGUCAAAACAACUUUUUGACAUGCAUAACUUUCUAGCCGCAAUAUUGGAAAUAUUGAUGAAGCAUGUGGAUGGAAUCAUGCAAAAAUGAAGCCAAAUGAGUUGGUGAAGCAUGUGAUAGUUUGACAAUUUCACAACAACUUUGACAAUUUGGCAAAUUGUUGGUGAGCGCUGAAUUUGUAAUAGUGCAAAAUACUUCCUAUAAAUAGAGGAGUUUUUCAUUUGUUAAGCAUCCUAAAAAUUUGUUAAGCUUAUAAGUUUCUAAGCUUUUAAGAGUUCUGAGAGUGUGAGCAAUUAGAGAGUGUGUGUGAGAGUACUGGGUGUAUUUGGAUUCUGGGAAAGUGAGGUUUCUUUAAUCAAAUUUGUACUCAAAUAUUUGUUAAUAAUACAAUUAUUUUUCUCUUGCUCCCGUGGACGUAGGCAUAUUGCCGAAUCACGUAAUUCUUGUGUCCUUUAUUUUUCUAUGAUUAUUCGGUGCGCUUGAUUCCGCAUUCCGCACACAACAGUCUCUUUAUUACAGUUUGUUUCACCUUUGCGCUAUGCCCAUAUUUAUUCGGAAAAGCUUGUGCUUGUCCCUCAUUGCUACUCUGUUAAGGAUUAUAAACAGGUAUAUCUUUGAUAUAUUUGGUAACAGUAAAUCCUUAUAUGGCUUUAUAUCAUCUUUUUUUAAUCCUCCUUCAAAAGCAGGGGAAGUUAUCUUCGUAACAAUCUGCAUUCCGUGGAUUGUUUCCUUUUGUCCAUGAAAUAUUUAGUUCAAUUUAUUUAGCACUUUAGUUUGAAUGAAGCUUGUUGGGGAAUUAAUGUAGAAAUGAAGAUCUUGCUUGUUUUUUCAAUUAUGUGGAUGAAGCUUUGACCUAGGAACUUCUACUGUAGUCUAGAGAAUAUUGUUUCUUCUAUAUCGAUGUGAUGAACUGGGUAAUUUUUGUCAAAGGUGUUUGAAAGUUUUAUAUUUGCUGUAAUCUUUCUGUUCAUUUGUUGCAUAAAGCAUGUUGGAGAUUCAAUGUAGAAAAAGGAAUCUUGAUUCUUUCUUUAGUUAUGUGGAUAAAGCUUUGAUUUAGGAACUUCUUCUCUAGUCUGAAUAAUAUUAUCUUCUUCUAUAUGGAUAUGAUUAACUGGGUGAUUUUGACAAAGGCUUUUGAAAGUUUUCUGUUUCUGAAAUCUUUCGGUUUUAUUUGUUGCAGAUGACAAACCUCUAUUUAUUCUUUUGCCCAAACAACUUCGGGUAGUUAGGAAGAAUAUUUUUGUGAGACUAAAAUCCAUAAAUAUAUGGAGCAUCACCUCUGUAUAUUGGAGAGCUAUGAGAGAUCAACUAGUCAGAGGUUAAAACGGUUUGGGAUCCUGUUACAAUGUAUUUAGGUUUUGUUUGGGAAGUUGUGCUGUUUCAACUUUGUUAUUUAGCUUUGCUUCUUCAGUUAUCUGUUGCUCUGUGUACGUCGGUUGCUUAUUUAUAAGCACUUCUCAUUGCUUCAUUUCUAAUAUAGAAUGAACCCACAAUUAUGUAUGACAGAACCAAUGUUACAAAGAUAGUUCUGGCCAUUUUUGUAGAGGUGGCCAUUUUAGUUCUCAUUUAGUUUGCUUACAAUGAUUUUUGGACUUCUGUUUUAUGGCAGAAAUCCACAAAGGCAGUCUUUUGAAACAGCAAUUGCAUACUCUUGGCGUGAAUGCAUUGAUGUCUCUUCAGCAUUUUCACAUCUUUUUAUGCUAUAGCCGAGAAUUGGGCCAGAAGUAAAUCCUUGAUUAUGCGUAAACCGAUAACCAUCAAAAGCCAAUUAAAUUGCCUUUCCUAACCCAAAAGUAUCCUAAUCCAAUGUUUGCUAUAUGAUUUCAAACCAAGUUCAAUUUGUUCAAUUCAUAAUUAAAUGGCGAAGAGAAUAUUUUAAUGAGUUCAAAUAGUUCCACUUUAUUAAUAACUUGGUAGAAACCUAAUGAAAGUGAGGGUAUUGGAGUCUCUUUAUUUGAGAGUAUUUUCUCUUAUUUAUUUAUUAUUUUAGAUUUCUAUGCUGUAUUUUUCUGGUUUAUUAAAAAACAAAUCCUCCUUCAAAACAUUUCAUAAUUUUAUGAGCAUUAUAAAAUUAUAUCUUUAAACCACACGGUUUAAGAGCUUUCUCAAUUUUUACUGCAUUUUAAAAUUCCUGAUUGGAAUAUAUAUAUAUAUAUAUAUAUAUAUAUAUAUAUAUAGUAACUAAACUAUGUCUCCAUGCAACUAGUUGGCCCCGAACUUUGCUUGAAGGGAUUUCACUACGCUUGAAGAGUUUUCACUACAUAUGGAUCAAGUUGGAAUGCCCUGGCGAGAGCAUAAGGAUCAAUUGGUGGAUCAAAUCCGAAGACUGCAUCUGCAAUUGUAAUAAUGCUAGGAUUCUGGCUGCUCAAAGCAGCAAUGGCAAACAGCAUUGGUUGUUCCAAUAUUCACUUUGAAAUGAAUGAGCCCAAUUGGAAACAUAAAUACAUCUCCUUUGUUCAGGGCUCUGGCGAAGAGUGCGUUAUUAAGCUGGUUUGAUGUCACAAAGCCAACAAAGAGAGUGUCCUCCUGGACUACUGGGAUUUUUGUGGCACGAGGCUGAGUGUGAGGUGGGUUUGGCCGCCGUUUGCCGCGUAGUCAAUACAAACUACGGAUAUGCCGAGUAGUGUUGAGCCCUAGAAUCUGUUCUACAUUUACAGUUGUGACUAUUGAGCCCACUGGAUUUGCUGUACUUUUAGGGAUAUUGUGCCCUGAAAAUCAAUCAAAACUACUUGUUAAAAAGAUUCUGUUUCGUUUUUAUUUUUUGUGUCUUUUACUAUUUUAUCCCCAUAAUUAGACUUAUGAUACACAAAGGUCAACAAUUAAUCAAUAAAAGGAAAAAAUUAAUCAUAAGUCUGAUAUUAAUGGUAAAAUAAAAAUAGACAAAAAAUUAGAAAGUUCAUUUAAUCAUUUUAAUGCCAAAGAGUUUUAAUGAGUUUUGAAACGUAAGGAGAGAAAUAGUAGAUUUACUUGAACAAUAAGAGGAUUUUAUCAUUUUCCCACUCAUAUACAGAAAAAAGAUACACCCCACAUGUCUUGAACUUGAAAUCAUUGAUGGCAACACAAAAAUCCUGGAGAUGGCUAGGGACAGAGGCAGUGGCCAAUGAACAAGCCAAAACCAUGAGGACAGAAGCUACAAGAAAUUGAACUCCUUUGAUGUUGAUUACGCUAGGUAUGUGUCUAUCUCAAAUUCUUUCCAACUCUAGGGGGUGAGAAAUGAAUUAUGGCAUAAGUAGCCUUUCAUAGUCGGAUUGAAUUAUAACGAUCCAAAGACUUACCAAGUUUAUUGGUUCUUUUUUUUCAUGCGUUAUAAAUGAAGAUUAGUGAAUUCUCCACGAGUAUGUACAUAACUGUCCUUAGAUUAUUUAUUUUGCUAAUUUGUUAAUGUUCAACAGAUAAUUUUUUAAUUGUGUAUUUGUUGUAAGUGCUUAUUUUUCCUACAUCUAAUUUUCAUAUGUGGGCUGCUGCUAUUGUAUAUCGAUAAGACUGACACCAAUACUAGAAAUUGUUUAUGAUCAAUGAAGUAAAAAAGUGGUGCUUUGGUAAUAUUGGGGAUUGCGGGCGUUCCAUUCAAAUAAUCUUGUAAAUUUAAAGUGUUGUUUGAUGAUCCAUAUCUAUGUCACAUAGAUUUGGUCAUUUAUAAUAUUUUAUAUAAUACACAGUACAUGGAACUAGAAUGUGUGGAUAAUCUAUCUCGAACGAUCUAUCCCUAUGUCUCAAAUUAAUCUUCAAUCUGCAAAUGUACAUAUGCACGCUUAAGAUAUUAAAAAACGUUUCAACAUAUUUUCAUAUUUAUCUGAUCAUAUCAUUUUUUUUUUCGUUCCAAGUGGGAAAAUAUUUCAUGGUCUUGGAUAGACAUCCACACCUCUUUGUGGGUGUGCAUGAGUCUAUUAUUUUAGCAAACUAGGGAAGGAUGAUGGAUGAGGAGAAAAAGAUUAUUUAUGAAUUGACUGCUGUAAUAUUGAUAUGGUCACAAAUUUAAAGGAGUAACGUUACCCAAACAAAGUCUGCACCUCAACAAACAUGAGACCAUUUAACUCAAAUCUACCAGAUGAUUAUGUGAAAUGAUAGUUAAUAAAUCAAGGAAAAUGAUAGUUUCCCCGAGUCAAACCCCGGGUCAAACCCUGAAAACUCAAAACCUGCCGUUUCACAACUAAAGCCAAAAACGACGCAUUUUGCUUGCCAAAUAUUUCCCCUUUCCUCCAUUGUUUCCCCUUUCCUGUCUCUUUUUCUUUAGCUGCUUAAGAAGAAACAACGAAUUUGCUCACAUCAAGCUCAAAUCAUCAUCUUCUUCAAAGAUGCCAAGAUCCUUGGCUUCUCUUUUCUCCCGCAAGAAAUCGCAAACACUUGCCUUCAAAGAUAACUACACAAACUAGUUCAACACUUCGUAAAAAACCCUCCUCCCUCUCAUUCACAAAUCUCUUUCUUCAUCUUCUUCGUAAACCCUCCUCUACUCUCACGUCAACCUCCUCCUCAGCCAUUUUCUUUUCUAUUACGACGCAUUAGACAUCGCGACCACCCAAGAAAACCCACCCAAGCUUCUCUUCCCAUCUUGGUGCAACAGUCUUGAAAUCCCAUUCCUCUUUCUUCGCGAUCUCCACCCUUGUGUCUUCACCAACCUCGUUAGAUCACUUCUUGAUGAAGAAAGUGAAGAAGAAAAAGAAGACGAUGAUGAUGAAUUUUUUGAUAAUAGGCUGUGGCAUGUGUUCAUGGCGUGGAGGAAUAUGUCCAAGAAUUUGAUGUCACAGAUUGAGCAAAUUGAAUGUGGGUUGAGGCUGAUGGUGCUGGCGUUGAUUGGUAGAAUCAAGAAGGUGCAAAGUCGUUUUGUGGGGAGGAUCGCUGAUACAAUGGUUUUGUGGCAUUGAUUGGUAAAUCCUUUUGGUUAUCCAGUGCCGAUACAGAGAUGAGAAGCAUAGCAAACGGUGCCAUUUUGAUGCCGAUAAAAAAAAAAAAAAACACGAAACGGCGUCGUUUGCAUUAGUUUCGGGGUUUGACCCGGGACAAACAUCAGCGCUGAUCAAUCAAAUAUUAUGAAUAGACUAGAUGAUUUUAAAUGUCAUGUCAAUUUAUCUCUAACUGCAUAAGUAAAAUAUUAUUGUAUGAUGAGAUAUGUUUGUUGCCGAAAAAAAAAAAAAAAAACACGAAACGGCGUCGUUUGCAUUAGUUUCGGGGUUUGACCCGGGACAAACAUCAGCGCUGAUCAAUCAAAUAUUAUGAAUAGACUAGAUGAUUUUAAAUGUCAUGUCAAUUUAUCUCUAACUGCAUAAGUAAAAUAUUAUUGUAUGAUGAGAUAUGUUUAUAUAGAUAUAAGAUUUUCUACCUACUCAUAGUUUAUGUUCCUCGACAAAGUGUUCAGAUCUUUCUUUUUUUUUUAAUUAUCAUUAUUAUUAUUUUUUUGGUGGUAAAUUUGUAAAAAUAAAAUUAAAAGACUUGUUCAUGCUAAAAAAUUCUUUCAACAAGGAUAAGCUGGUCAUUAGCUUCAACUGUUUUAUAGAGAAGGUUAGAAAAAAACAAAAGUAGAGUUAUUGAAAAUUAGAUAGGUCAUAUAGGGAUAUUGACAUGGCUUGAAAGUAAGUUAAUGCUUCUUUUUCUUCUCUUCUUGUUACGUGCACAUAAUGACAUAAUUAAUUGACUGAUUGCAUGUUUAAACAAGUCAGUACAUUAAAAUUUCAUUGAUUGCAUGUGUUUUUGACCAAAAUAACUCCAACAAGUAAGAACCCUCUCACUGAAAAUUGUAAAUCAUUGUAAUUAAAACUUUUUAAGUCCUAUGUUAUAUUCUUCUUACAAGAAAUUUUAUAAUGCAUUAAAGGAAAUUCAACUGAAUAAUACAUGUAUAAUAUGUAUAGUUAAAUUUUAUAUAAUUACAUUUGCAUAGUAAUUUUUCAAAAUAAAUUUACAAACGUUAUAAUUUCAUUUAUUUGUUGUAUGAUUGCCAUGAUAUUUUAAAGUUACUUCAAAUUUUCUCUCUCUUUAGGGUUUUGUCCAGUAAUUUUUUAGUAGCUUUAUUAUUUGACAAGCCAUCCAAAGCGGCUUUUUUUCUCGUAUUACAUGUUUCUUUAAGAAAAAUCUAAUUUUUUUUUGCUCUUUUUUAACAGUUUUAGUUUAAAUAAAAAUGUUGGAUUUUUAAUUCGAAUUCAUGAUCCAGUUUGAUUGCUUUUGGCGGGAAAGGUUGUUAUGCAUCAAGCACACUAACAGAAGUUAGUUAUGGGACUGCUACUUUGACUUUUGGUUGACCUGAGCUGUUAUAUAGGCUGAUAAGGAGAGUAGGUUUAGGAGCUUGUAGUUAAUUCAUUUCACUGAGUUAGAAAACACUUGAUGACUCAUUAGAAAUCUGGUUGUAAUCUCUUUAAAUAUGGGCCCUUUACUCUUAAUGAAAAAGAGCUUGAAGAUGGCUUGUUGUGCAUAAUCAUUGGUGGUUAGUUUUGAUCAUCUCUUGCCUAUGUGCUAUGCAUUCUACUUACUAGCUGUGUUUGUAUCAAUUAUUGGGGCAAAUUUUGGUUAUACGUUAGGAAAUUGAUGGGUGAAACAGACAUAUAAUUAAAAUGAAAUUGAGAAAUAAUGAUCACACAAGGACACCAGGAUUUACAUGGUUCGACUUUUAGCCUACGUUCAUAGUGUUGUAUAAAUUUUAUUGUACUCGCAACUACAAAAAUCUAUUAUAGUAUAGAUUUAUAGUGACGAGUGUCGAUCCCACGAGAAGGUAGAUUUAAUCACAUGUAGGCUUAAUUAAUCCAAGUUCAUAUGUGUAUUGGUUGGAAAUGAUUUCUUUAUCUUAAUAUUUAAAAUAAAAUGGCAAGAAUGAAUUAAAGAUAAAACUAUGCAAAUGAGGUUCUUGAGUCUUUAAAUUCACACUCAACACUUCACCAUGGGCUUACUAUUCCUUUUUUAGUUCCAAUUAAUAUAUGAGGGAGUAUUUCCACUCCUUAUAAGCCUCAUUCUAAUAAAUACGGUAUCAAGCACUCAUUGUGCGAGAGAAUAAUGAUCUUCCACUAAUGUGUUAUUAAGCACACGUUGUGCCAGACGAUAAAAAUCCUUUUGUCGACAAUAUGGCAAGAUCGUCUACUAAAAAGUUUAGAUGCGCUCUCUGUCGACAAUAAGUCAAGACGACCAACGAAAUACUAAAGGGGAGUUUUCUCUUUAAUAUAUGGUGCUAAGUACUCAUCGUGCUAAACAGUAACUAUCUUUUACUAGAGAGCUGGUAUGUCAUACAAAAUCUAGUUAAGAUACACCGUUUGUCGAUGACGAGUCAAAACAACUACUUAAAUAAGAAAGAUAGAGCAAAUAAACUUACCAAAUUAGGCCUAUAGAUCAUAUUGAGGCUUCACUUUCAAUCCAAUCUUAAAACUAAAUUAGCUAUUUCUUUUUUAACUAGGGGUAAAAUGAAAAUUCUAUUAAAAUAUGUAGAAAAUAUAAGAUGGGGAGAGAGUUAGGAGUGGGGAGCCCCCUACUUAUAGGUACGAUGAGUAAAUUAUAGCUAUCGGAUAAAAACAAUUCAGAUGCUCAGGAUUGCGUCACGUGGCAAGCUUUGAUUAGUUGGAAUACAUCAUCAGUCAACACCACAUUAGCAUUUCGAUCUAAUAAUAUGCUGCCACGUCAUUGGUCUACGCUACAUCAUCAGUCAACGUCACAUAAUCAAUAAAUGCCACAUCAUUGGCCUAAUAGGAUGCUGCCACAUCAUCGGUCAAUGCCACAUCAUCACAUCGCACACGUGAACAGUUCCAUACAUGUGAAUAGUAAUGUAUACGUGAACAAUACUGUAUAUGUCAGUAGUAUCAUAAAUGUAAAUGGUGCCAUAUACCCCUUUAUGCUCCUCUUAAGGAUUUCAAUUGUUCCGAGCUAAAAAAUGCCAUCCGUUUUUUUGUCCAACUUCUCUUUAAUUAUGAAAUAAUCAAAAUACUAUUCAAAUACAUAAAAUACUCAAAUUAUAACAAAACACACACAAUCAAAUUUUAAAGGACUUAAACAUAUAAAAGUAGAAAUGUUAGUGAGACUUGGAGUACAAAAUGAUAAUUGUAUCCUUUAUAAAUACGCAUUCUCCAGUACUUAACACAUGUGCGAAGACAUAAGGAAAUAUUUUACUAGUAAGAAGGAGUUACAAGUAUUGUAAUAUUUUUGUCUUACAACCCAAAAAACCCAAUACACCUAAACUCUUAAAACACUAGAACAAAUGCUUAAAGCUCUCAGGGCACUCUCUUCUAACUCUUGACUUCUCUCAACUGAAUUGAAAAAUGGGAUGAUUGAAGAUGGUAAAUGAAGCCUCUAUUUUAUGGGCUUCAUGUUCCCUCUUUCUUUAAUUUUUAUUAUUAUACAAAACUUAGUGGAUAUCGAAAGUUACACUAAUAAUGUGUUACUUACUCAUGUCUCCUACUUAUCUCAACAAAUUAUGCCAAAAGUCAAAAUGUUGCAUGAUAACCACAUGCAAUUACUUGCUACAUGCAUGCAUAUGUUCAACAUUAUGUGUGUUUGCUCUUAUUAAACGACAUCAACUAGUCAUCUACCUAUUGAUCUUGGGGCUUAAUAUUAUAUGUUUCAUACCAGAAUUUGCAUAACAAAAAGUAAUGAAGAGAUUAAUUAAUAUGUAUGUGUCUCAGUGUGUGUACGGACAAAAUAUAUGCAUAAAGAGAGGCAUGGAAAAGGCUUAGCUGCUAAAUAAAAACAAUAACAAUUAUGUUUAUUACAUGGCCACAGUCAGCCUGGAGAGAGGUUCAUGAGAGACCUCUUUUAUUACAUUAAUUAAGAUAUGAUAAUCUGGAGAUAAAGUAAUACAGCCACUAGUGAAGAGGCCAUUUAUAUUAAAGCUCAUUAAUUCCUUCUCCUAAUUGCCAUUAAUGAACUUAUUUUGAAGAUCUUUCACUAUCUUUGGGUCCAACUGGAAUGCCUUGCCAAGAAAAUCGGGAUUGAUUGAAGGAUUGGCUCCAAAGACUGUGUCGGCUAUGGUAACUUCACCCGGGAAUUGGCUGUUUAGAGCAGAAUAGGCAGCUGCAUUUGUUUUUCCAAUGUUGAAUUGGAAGUGAAUCAAACCUUGUGGAAACACAAAAACAUCUCCCUUAUUUAGAACUUUUGCGAUGAGUGUGUUAUUCAGUUGGUCUGAUGUCACAAAACCGACAUAAAGAGUUCCUUCCAGGACUAAGAAGAUUUCGCUGGCACGGGGGUGAAUGUGAGGUGGCCUUUGGCCAUAUGGUGCAUAGUCAAUACGGAAUGCUGAUAUGCCAAGGGUGUUGAGUCCUGGAAUUUGCUCAACAUUUGCAUCUGUUUCAUCAACACCAAGUCGAUUUGCUGUGUUUCCAGGCUUGCCUAGCCCUGAGAAGAAGAAAUCUUCUGCUCUCGCAAGCUUGGGGUCCUUGCAGAACUUCCCAUUCACAAACACUACAAGAACACACACACAUACACACACAAAGGGGGAAAAAAAGAAUAAUUAAGUAGCAGCACAAAUUUUAUUGAAAUUUAUAUGUUUCGUUAGUUCAGCUUACGUACCACCAUCCUUCGGGUCCUCGAUGGCUACACAGAUAUCUUGAAGAGGGCUAGGGUCAGAGGCAGAGGCCAAAGAAGAAGCCAAAGCCAAGAGAGCAAAACCUAUAAGAAAUUGAAUUGCCUUCAUGGUGAUUAAUUAACAGGAACCAGCUUAAAGAAAUGGAGUCCAGCAUCCAAGAUCUUGAAGAAGGCCUUGAGUCCUUGUCUAGGCGUUUGAUCAAGGCUAGAGUCCCCCUUCUCAACAUCCUCACCAAUUAGAUUACAAGAUUGUGGUGAUGUCAUACUUGUAAAUGAAUGAAAUAUACUUGUAUCAUUCUAUAGAAAGAAAAUUAUAUAUACACAAAUAGGUUUUUUCUAUGACAUAUUUAGCCUUUCUUGUAUUUCAUAGUCUUUGCUUUUAUUGCAUAAAUGUUGCUAAUUAUAUGAUAUAUUAUACAGUAAUCUAUCACGAGACAGUAAGAAUCUCCACGACUAUCAUUUCUAUUUUAAAUUGCAUGUAAUUAAUUUGCCUUGAAUAAAUUAUGGAUUCUCUUAGAUGCAUCUGUUUAAUUUUGAACCAAUAAUACUUUAAUGGCAAAUUUCUUCCUGAAGCAUUAAUUUAAAGCUUAGUUUAGCUUGUUCAUCCAAUCUAUUUGUUUGAUUAUUUUUACUCCAUACAAGGAGAAUUGAAAAUCUAGUACCAUCUACCAGCAUUUAAGCUGUAAAAUCAAUUGAUAUUUGAUAUUGAUGAAAUGUUCUUAUCAUAGAAAUAUUCUAUUUGUGUAUUUAAUUUUCUUUAUAUAGAUUGAUACAAUAGGAUUUCGCAUGCAUCAUUUCUGCUGUACGGCCAAGGCGGAUGUUAAAAUUUUGUAAAAUCUAAAUUUAGUAAAAAUCAGUUGACCACCUCUAUUUGAGAUUUAUGUUUUUUAUUAAAUUUAGGGAUAUUUUUAUGAUUAUAAUUUUUAAUUUUAAAAAUUUUUAUAAGAUAAAAUAAUCUUUUAAUUUAUUUGGGGGUAAAAUUAUCAUUUUAUUAAAAUUAUUUAAUAGUGUUAAUGCAAAAGUGACUAAUUGAUACAAAUGUAAAAAAAAAAAUGGUGCAAAAUACAUGUUAAAAUUUUGUGGUGGCUGAAUGAACAUAAGGCAAAAUAAAGGUGGUGCAAUGAUAAUUUCCCUAUAACUAAUAUUAACAUAUUUGUUUAUUCUUAAUCCCAAAAGAAUAAUAUAACAAAAUUAUACAAUCCCAAAAGGGUGAGAUGAUCCGGAUGUCCUAACAAAAAAAUCAUCUAUAUCUUCUAAUAUCAUCACGUGGCCAAAACUCAAAAUAUAUUUACAGCCGCUGGGUCGGUUUGGUGUACCUGCAACCUCCUGUUGGGGGGAGGAAAAUAUAAUAAAAACCGAAUGAGUAUAAAACUCAGUGAGCUUAGUGAGUAUAUAGUAAUUUUUGAAAACAAAUUUUUACUUUAAAAGAAAUAAUCAUAUCAUUUCCAAACACAAUUUCAUCAAACCAUAUGCGAGAAACCAGUAAUAAAUCAUUUAACAUUUAAAUCAGAUUACCAACCUUGAAAAGCAUAUAUAAUAUCGUAGCUAAUAACCAUGGAAAUCAUAUCACAAUAUCAUAUAGAAUACACAAAUAUGAAAAUCAUCACUAAACAAGUACCAAGAGGAAUAAUCUCAUCGUAUCCGGACCUCAACGGAUGGACAAUGACGUACUAUUUAGAUAUUGUCACACCCCGGAACUACACGGAUAGACAAGAAAAUAUCAUCUCAUAUCUCAUGAUAUAUGUGCAUGUAUAAUCUAGUCCCCAAAGGACAAAAGCGCCCAAGCACAUGGCCCAAAGCCUCUAUGUGUACUCAGACGAGCCCUCAAUGCAUGUAUCUCAUAUGUAUCAUCUGUAUAUGUAUCACUGUUAUCAUCAUAUCACAUGCAUAUGCCCCCAAAAGGCAGAAGUGCCUAAACACACGGCCCAAAGCCUCUAUGUGUGUUCAGACGGGCCCCAAAGACCUCUCAUCUCUAUACUUAUAAAAGAGAAGGGUAUUGUCGAAUGAUUUUAAAAACAAUCUCUAUACUCAUAUUCAUAUAAAUUAUAAUCAUACUUUAAAUCAUACAUUUCUUUUUAUUAUCACAUCUAAAUCCACUUUUCUCAUCUUUAAAAUACCAUAAUAUUUUAUUCAAAGUCGAUACGAAAAACUAUUAACGAAACAUUUUAAUAUAAUAUCAAUGCGUGAAUAAAAUCCAUUUCAAGAAAAUCAUUAAAUCAGAACAUUUAAAAUACUUAUUUCGCAAACAUACUUUACUAUCAUAAUUAAUUAUGAAAAUAAAUUUUGUAUAUUCCACUCACAGUGACGAUGUUUACGCUCGGUUAUCGUCCACGUCCGCGGACUGACUCUCACUUGCGGAUCCUCCUAAAUCAAGAAAACGACAUAAUUAUUUUCUAUAAAUCAGAAUUAGGACUAAAUUUAUGCAACAAACUCGAAACAAACAUCUAUCCAUAAUUUACAACUCCCGUAUCGAUAAAAUUACUAAAAUACCCUUAAAUAUGUAAAUCAUUAAGAUACUUCGAAAUUAUAAAUCACCGAAUUACCCUCGGAAUCAUAAUUACACCCAAUCUUCAAUUUCAGGAAUUACUAAAAUAUCCACAGGCUCAUAAAUUACAAAACCGCUAUCAAAAUGUGAAAUUACCGAAUUGCCCUUACCGGUCAACGGUGGCCGGAAUUCAAGCAACGGUGACCGGGAAGCUCAGGUCAGACGCUUCUCGCUGAGCUGAGUUCAAUGAUACCGGCAGUGUGCUCCCACGCGUGGCGACGGCACCAGAAUCUAGCUCGACAGUCGUGUUACUACAACGGCUGAACCACGACAAAUCGACGGCUCUUGGUGGGUGUGGAUGGUCAGAAAAUUAAAGGGGAGUCGUGGGGAACAAAAUCCAGCCGGUGCUGUCACCCAAAACCGGUGAAAAUCUCAACAGAGCAAGGUGGAAAAGUAGCGGGUUUUUCAAGCUUUGGUCACCGACGUUCUAGCUGUUUUCCGGCGACGUGGACGAUUGGGGCAUGAUGGCCGGUUUGCAAGCUUCAGAUUGGUACCAAACUUGACCGGUUGGGUGGCCGGAAUCACAAGAUAUCGCCGGGUCGAAUUUCAGGUCAAACGGGUCGGGUUUCGGGUCGGUUUACAGCUUCUCUCACUCUCUCGUACGUGUGUAUCUGUUUCCCUGUGUCAAACUUCUUCUUUUACUUUUAUUUACUUUUUAACCGCCUCAUCUUUUUUUUUUUUUUUUUCCACGUGUGUUACAAUAAAACCCAAAACAGGUUAGACACGUUUCCACCAAUCUUCAAAACGAACAUAAAAUAUAAUAAGAAACAAUAUUUUAACGCGUUUCCAAAGCAUAAUUAAAAUAUAAUUUUUUCAUUGGAAAGAAACGAGUUGAAGAAUUUAUGAAAAUGGGUGAGAAACAAAUUCAAGUCUCUGGCCACAGGCUAACAGUUGAGAGUCAUGUUCUGUAAAUAUCGAUGUUACCGGACUUGAUUGGUUUGUUGUUGGACUUAAUGAAGAUGCAUUAUUAGCCAUUUUUUCUUUUUCAUAUCAAUUUUCAUAGCUGCUUUAAUCAUUUUUAGUUAUGAAUGCAUUACCAAUGAUGCACUUGUUUUUUUCAUUACGUGUUAAAAUAUUGUUUUCUGUAAAUAUCGAUGUUACCGGACUUGAUUGGUUUGUUGUUGGACUUAAUGAAGAUGCAUUAUUAGCCAUUUUUUCUUUUUCAUAUCAAUUUUCAUAGCUGCUUUAAUCAUUUUUAGUUAUGAAUGCAUUACCAAUGAUGCACUUGUUUUUUUCAUUACGUGUUAAAAUAUUGUUUUCUGUAAAUAUCGAUGUUACCGGACUUGAUUGGUUUGUUGUUGGACUUAAUGAAGAUGCAUUAUUAGCCAUUUUUUCUUUUUCAUAUCAAUUUUCAUAGCUGCUUUAAUCAUUUUUAGUUAUGAAUGCAUUACCAAUGAUGCACUUGUUUUUUUCAUUACGUGUUAAAAUAUUGUUUUCUGUAAAUAUCGAUGUUACCGGACUUGAUUGGUUUGUUGUUGGACUUAAUGAAGAUGCAUUAUUAGCCAUUUUUUCUUUUUCAUAUCAAUUUUCAUAGCUGCUUUAAUCAUUUUUAGUUAUGAAUGCAUUACCAAUGAUGCACUUGUUUUUUUCAUUACGUGUUAAAAUAUUGUUUUCUGUAAAUAUCGAUGUUACCGGACUUGAUUGGUUUGUUGUUGGACUUAAUGAAGAUGCAUUAUUAGCCAUUUUUUCUUUUUCAUAUCAAUUUUCAUAGCUGCUUUAAUCAUUUUUAGUUAUGAAUGCAUUACCAAUGAUGCACUUGUUUUUUUCAUUACGUGUUAAAAUAUUGUUUUCUGUAAAUAUCGAUGUUACCGGACUUGAUUGGUUUGUUGUUGGACUUAAUGAAGAUGCAUUAUUAGCCAUUUUUUCUUUUUCAUAUCAAUUUUCAUAGCUGCUUUAAUCAUUUUUAGUUAUGAAUGCAUUACCAAUGAUGCACUUGUUUUUUUCAUUACGUGUUAAAAUAUUGUUUUCUGUAAAUAUCGAUGUUACCGGACUUGAUUGGUUUGUUGUUGGACUUAAUGAAGAUGCAUUAUUAGCCAUUUUUUCUUUUUCAUAUCAAUUUUCAUAGCUGCUUUAAUCAUUUUUAGUUAUGAAUGCAUUACCAAUGAUGCACUUGUUUUUUUCAUUACGUGUUAAAAUAUUGUUUUCUGUAAAUAUCGAUGUUACCGGACUUGAUUGGUUUGUUGUUGGACUUAAUGAAGAUGCAUUAUUAGCCAUUUUUUCUUUUUCAUAUCAAUUUUCAUAGCUGCUUUAAUCAUUUUUAGUUAUGAAUGCAUUACCAAUGAUGCACUUGUUUUUUUCAUUACGUGUUAAAAUAUUGUUUUCUGUAAAUAUCGAUGUUACCGGACUUGAUUGGUUUGUUGUUGGACUUAAUGAAGAUGCAUUAUUAGCCAUUUUUUCUUUUUCAUAUCAAUUUUCAUAGCUGCUUUAAUCAUUUUUAGUUAUGAAUGCAUUACCAAUGAUGCACUUGUUUUUUUCAUUACGUGUUAAAAUAUUGUUUUCUGUAAAUAUCGAUGUUACCGGACUUGAUUGGUUUGUUGUUGGACUUAAUGAAGAUGCAUUAUUAGCCAUUUUUUCUUUUUCAUAUCAAUUUUCAUAGCUGCUUUAAUCAUUUUUAGUUAUGAAUGCAUUACCAAUGAUGCACUUGUUUUUUUCAUUACGUGUUAAAAUAUUGUUUUCUGUAAAUAUCGAUGUUACCGGACUUGAUUGGUUUGUUGUUGGACUUAAUGAAGAUGCAUUAUUAGCCAUUUUUUCUUUUUCAUAUCAAUUUUCAUAGCUGCUUUAAUCAUUUUUAGUUAUGAAUGCAUUACCAAUGAUGCACUUGUUUUUUUCAUUACGUGUUAAAAUAUUGUUUUCUGUAAAUAUCGAUGUUACCGGACUUGAUUGGUUUGUUGUUGGACUUAAUGAAGAUGCAUUAUUAGCCAUUUUUUCUUUUUCAUAUCAAUUUUCAUAGCUGCUUUAAUCAUUUUUAGUUAUGAAUGCAUUACCAAUGAUGCACUUGUUUUUUUCAUUACGUGUUAAAAUAUUGUUUUCUGUAAAUAUCGAUGUUACCGGACUUGAUUGGUUUGUUGUUGGACUUAAUGAAGAUGCAUUAUUAGCCAUUUUUUCUUUUUCAUAUCAAUUUUCAUAGCUGCUUUAAUCAUUUUUAGUUAUGAAUGCAUUACCAAUGAUGCACUUGUUUUUUUCAUUACGUGUUAAAAUAUUGUUUUCUGUAAAUAUCGAUGUUACCGGACUUGAUUGGUUUGUUGUUGGACUUAAUGAAGAUGCAUUAUUAGCCAUUUUUUCUUUUUCAUAUCAAUUUUCAUAGCUGCUUUAAUCAUUUUUAGUUAUGAAUGCAUUACCAAUGAUGCACUUGUUUUUUUCAUUACGUGUUAAAAUAUUGUUUUCUGUAAAUAUCGAUGUUACCGGACUUGAUUGGUUUGUUGUUGGACUUAAUGAAGAUGCAUUAUUAGCCAUUUUUUCUUUUUCAUAUCAAUUUUCAUAGCUGCUUUAAUCAUUUUUAGUUAUGAAUGCAUUACCAAUGAUGCACUUGUUUUUUUCAUUACGUGUUAAAAUAUUGUUUUCUGUAAAUAUCGAUGUUACCGGACUUGAUUGGUUUGUUGUUGGACUUAAUGAAGAUGCAUUAUUAGCCAUUUUUUCUUUUUCAUAUCAAUUUUCAUAGCUGCUUUAAUCAUUUUUAGUUAUGAAUGCAUUACCAAUGAUGCACUUGUUUUUUUCAUUACGUGUUAAAAUAUUGUUUUCUGUAAAUAUCGAUGUUACCGGACUUGAUUGGUUUGUUGUUGGACUUAAUGAAGAUGCAUUAUUAGCCAUUUUUUCUUUUUCAUAUCAAUUUUCAUAGCUGCUUUAAUCAUUUUUAGUUAUGAAUGCAUUACCAAUGAUGCACUUGUUUUUUUCAUUACGUGUUAAAAUAUUGUUUUCUGUAAAUAUCGAUGUUACCGGACUUGAUUGGUUUGUUGUUGGACUUAAUGAAGAUGCAUUAUUAGCCAUUUUUUCUUUUUCAUAUCAAUUUUCAUAGCUGCUUUAAUCAUUUUUAGUUAUGAAUGCAUUACCAAUGAUGCACUUGUUUUUUUCAUUACGUGUUAAAAUAUUGUUUUCUGUAAAUAUCGAUGUUACCGGACUUGAUUGGUUUGUUGUUGGACUUAAUGAAGAUGCAUUAUUAGCCAUUUUUUCUUUUUCAUAUCAAUUUUCAUAGCUGCUUUAAUCAUUUUUAGUUAUGAAUGCAUUACCAAUGAUGCACUUGUUUUUUUCAUUACGUGUUAAAAUAUUGUUUUCUGUAAAUAUCGAUGUUACCGGACUUGAUUGGUUUGUUGUUGGACUUAAUGAAGAUGCAUUAUUAGCCAUUUUUUCUUUUUCAUAUCAAUUUUCAUAGCUGCUUUAAUCAUUUUUAGUUAUGAAUGCAUUACCAAUGAUGCACUUGUUUUUUUCAUUACGUGUUAAAAUAUUGUUUUCUGUAAAUAUCGAUGUUACCGGACUUGAUUGGUUUGUUGUUGGACUUAAUGAAGAUGCAUUAUUAGCCAUUUUUUCUUUUUCAUAUCAAUUUUCAUAGCUGCUUUAAUCAUUUUUAGUUAUGAAUGCAUUACCAAUGAUGCACUUGUUUUUUUCAUUACGUGUUAAAAUAUUGUUUUCUGUAAAUAUCGAUGUUACCGGACUUGAUUGGUUUGUUGUUGGACUUAAUGAAGAUGCAUUAUUAGCCAUUUUUUCUUUUUCAUAUCAAUUUUCAUAGCUGCUUUAAUCAUUUUUAGUUAUGAAUGCAUUACCAAUGAUGCACUUGUUUUUUUCAUUACGUGUUAAAAUAUUGUUUUCUGUAAAUAUCGAUGUUACCGGACUUGAUUGGUUUGUUGUUGGACUUAAUGAAGAUGCAUUAUUAGCCAUUUUUUCUUUUUCAUAUCAAUUUUCAUAGCUGCUUUAAUCAUUUUUAGUUAUGAAUGCAUUACCAAUGAUGCACUUGUUUUUUUCAUUACGUGUUAAAAUAUUGUUUUCUGUAAAUAUCGAUGUUACCGGACUUGAUUGGUUUGUUGUUGGACUUAAUGAAGAUGCAUUAUUAGCCAUUUUUUCUUUUUCAUAUCAAUUUUCAUAGCUGCUUUAAUCAUUUUUAGUUAUGAAUGCAUUACCAAUGAUGCACUUGUUUUUUUCAUUACGUGUUAAAAUAUUGUUUUCUGUAAAUAUCGAUGUUACCGGACUUGAUUGGUUUGUUGUUGGACUUAAUGAAGAUGCAUUAUUAGCCAUUUUUUCUUUUUCAUAUCAAUUUUCAUAGCUGCUUUAAUCAUUUUUAGUUAUGAAUGCAUUACCAAUGAUGCACUUGUUUUUUUCAUUACGUGUUAAAAUAUUGUUUUCUGUAAAUAUCGAUGUUACCGGACUUGAUUGGUUUGUUGUUGGACUUAAUGAAGAUGCAUUAUUAGCCAUUUUUUCUUUUUCAUAUCAAUUUUCAUAGCUGCUUUAAUCAUUUUUAGUUAUGAAUGCAUUACCAAUGAUGCACUUGUUUUUUUCAUUACGUGUUAAAAUAUUGUUUUCUGUAAAUAUCGAUGUUACCGGACUUGAUUGGUUUGUUGUUGGACUUAAUGAAGAUGCAUUAUUAGCCAUUUUUUCUUUUUCAUAUCAAUUUUCAUAGCUGCUUUAAUCAUUUUUAGUUAUGAAUGCAUUACCAAUGAUGCACUUGUUUUUUUCAUUACGUGUUAAAAUAUUGUUUUCUGUAAAUAUCGAUGUUACCGGACUUGAUUGGUUUGUUGUUGGACUUAAUGAAGAUGCAUUAUUAGCCAUUUUUUCUUUUUCAUAUCAAUUUUCAUAGCUGCUUUAAUCAUUUUUAGUUAUGAAUGCAUUACCAAUGAUGCACUUGUUUUUUUCAUUACGUGUUAAAAUAUUGUUUUCUGUAAAUAUCGAUGUUACCGGACUUGAUUGGUUUGUUGUUGGACUUAAUGAAGAUGCAUUAUUAGCCAUUUUUUCUUUUUCAUAUCAAUUUUCAUAGCUGCUUUAAUCAUUUUUAGUUAUGAAUGCAUUACCAAUGAUGCACUUGUUUUUUUCAUUACGUGUUAAAAUAUUGUUUUCUGUAAAUAUCGAUGUUACCGGACUUGAUUGGUUUGUUGUUGGACUUAAUGAAGAUGCAUUAUUAGCCAUUUUUUCUUUUUCAUAUCAAUUUUCAUAGCUGCUUUAAUCAUUUUUAGUUAUGAAUGCAUUACCAAUGAUGCACUUGUUUUUUUCAUUACGUGUUAAAAUAUUGUUUUCUGUAAAUAUCGAUGUUACCGGACUUGAUUGGUUUGUUGUUGGACUUAAUGAAGAUGCAUUAUUAGCCAUUUUUUCUUUUUCAUAUCAAUUUUCAUAGCUGCUUUAAUCAUUUUUAGUUAUGAAUGCAUUACCAAUGAUGCACUUGUUUUUUUCAUUACGUGUUAAAAUAUUGUUUUCUGUAAAUAUCGAUGUUACCGGACUUGAUUGGUUUGUUGUUGGACUUAAUGAAGAUGCAUUAUUAGCCAUUUUUUCUUUUUCAUAUCAAUUUUCAUAGCUGCUUUAAUCAUUUUUAGUUAUGAAUGCAUUACCAAUGAUGCACUUGUUUUUUUCAUUACGUGUUAAAAUAUUGUUUUCUGUAAAUAUCGAUGUUACCGGACUUGAUUGGUUUGUUGUUGGACUUAAUGAAGAUGCAUUAUUAGCCAUUUUUUCUUUUUCAUAUCAAUUUUCAUAGCUGCUUUAAUCAUUUUUAGUUAUGAAUGCAUUACCAAUGAUGCACUUGUUUUUUUCAUUACGUGUUAAAAUAUUGUUUUCUGUAAAUAUCGAUGUUACCGGACUUGAUUGGUUUGUUGUUGGACUUAAUGAAGAUGCAUUAUUAGCCAUUUUUUCUUUUUCAUAUCAAUUUUCAUAGCUGCUUUAAUCAUUUUUAGUUAUGAAUGCAUUACCAAUGAUGCACUUGUUUUUUUCAUUACGUGUUAAAAUAUUGUUUUCUGUAAAUAUCGAUGUUACCGGACUUGAUUGGUUUGUUGUUGGACUUAAUGAAGAUGCAUUAUUAGCCAUUUUUUCUUUUUCAUAUCAAUUUUCAUAGCUGCUUUAAUCAUUUUUAGUUAUGAAUGCAUUACCAAUGAUGCACUUGUUUUUUUCAUUACGUGUUAAAAUAUUGUUUUCUGUAAAUAUCGAUGUUACCGGACUUGAUUGGUUUGUUGUUGGACUUAAUGAAGAUGCAUUAUUAGCCAUUUUUUCUUUUUCAUAUCAAUUUUCAUAGCUGCUUUAAUCAUUUUUAGUUAUGAAUGCAUUACCAAUGAUGCACUUGUUUUUUUCAUUACGUGUUAAAAUAUUGUUUUCUGUAAAUAUCGAUGUUACCGGACUUGAUUGGUUUGUUGUUGGACUUAAUGAAGAUGCAUUAUUAGCCAUUUUUUCUUUUUCAUAUCAAUUUUCAUAGCUGCUUUAAUCAUUUUUAGUUAUGAAUGCAUUACCAAUGAUGCACUUGUUUUUUUCAUUACGUGUUAAAAUAUUGUUUUCUGUAAAUAUCGAUGUUACCGGACUUGAUUGGUUUGUUGUUGGACUUAAUGAAGAUGCAUUAUUAGCCAUUUUUUCUUUUUCAUAUCAAUUUUCAUAGCUGCUUUAAUCAUUUUUAGUUAUGAAUGCAUUACCAAUGAUGCACUUGUUUUUUUCAUUACGUGUUAAAAUAUUGUUUUCUGUAAAUAUCGAUGUUACCGGACUUGAUUGGUUUGUUGUUGGACUUAAUGAAGAUGCAUUAUUAGCCAUUUUUUCUUUUUCAUAUCAAUUUUCAUAGCUGCUUUAAUCAUUUUUAGUUAUGAAUGCAUUACCAAUGAUGCACUUGUUUUUUUCAUUACGUGUUAAAAUAUUGUUUUCUGUAAAUAUCGAUGUUACCGGACUUGAUUGGUUUGUUGUUGGACUUAAUGAAGAUGCAUUAUUAGCCAUUUUUUCUUUUUCAUAUCAAUUUUCAUAGCUGCUUUAAUCAUUUUUAGUUAUGAAUGCAUUACCAAUGAUGCACUUGUUUUUUUCAUUACGUGUUAAAAUAUUGUUUUCUGUAAAUAUCGAUGUUACCGGACUUGAUUGGUUUGUUGUUGGACUUAAUGAAGAUGCAUUAUUAGCCAUUUUUUCUUUUUCAUAUCAAUUUUCAUAGCUGCUUUAAUCAUUUUUAGUUAUGAAUGCAUUACCAAUGAUGCACUUGUUUUUUUCAUUACGUGUUAAAAUAUUGUUUUCUGUAAAUAUCGAUGUUACCGGACUUGAUUGGUUUGUUGUUGGACUUAAUGAAGAUGCAUUAUUAGCCAUUUUUUCUUUUUCAUAUCAAUUUUCAUAGCUGCUUUAAUCAUUUUUAGUUAUGAAUGCAUUACCAAUGAUGCACUUGUUUUUUUCAUUACGUGUUAAAAUAUUGUUUUCUGUAAAUAUCGAUGUUACCGGACUUGAUUGGUUUGUUGUUGGACUUAAUGAAGAUGCAUUAUUAGCCAUUUUUUCUUUUUCAUAUCAAUUUUCAUAGCUGCUUUAAUCAUUUUUAGUUAUGAAUGCAUUACCAAUGAUGCACUUGUUUUUUUCAUUACGUGUUAAAAUAUUGUUUUCUGUAAAUAUCGAUGUUACCGGACUUGAUUGGUUUGUUGUUGGACUUAAUGAAGAUGCAUUAUUAGCCAUUUUUUCUUUUUCAUAUCAAUUUUCAUAGCUGCUUUAAUCAUUUUUAGUUAUGAAUGCAUUACCAAUGAUGCACUUGUUUUUUUCAUUACGUGUUAAAAUAUUGUUUUCUGUAAAUAUCGAUGUUACCGGACUUGAUUGGUUUGUUGUUGGACUUAAUGAAGAUGCAUUAUUAGCCAUUUUUUCUUUUUCAUAUCAAUUUUCAUAGCUGCUUUAAUCAUUUUUAGUUAUGAAUGCAUUACCAAUGAUGCACUUGUUUUUUUCAUUACGUGUUAAAAUAUUGUUUUCUGUAAAUAUCGAUGUUACCGGACUUGAUUGGUUUGUUGUUGGACUUAAUGAAGAUGCAUUAUUAGCCAUUUUUUCUUUUUCAUAUCAAUUUUCAUAGCUGCUUUAAUCAUUUUUAGUUAUGAAUGCAUUACCAAUGAUGCACUUGUUUUUUUCAUUACGUGUUAAAAUAUUGUUUUCUGUAAAUAUCGAUGUUACCGGACUUGAUUGGUUUGUUGUUGGACUUAAUGAAGAUGCAUUAUUAGCCAUUUUUUCUUUUUCAUAUCAAUUUUCAUAGCUGCUUUAAUCAUUUUUAGUUAUGAAUGCAUUACCAAUGAUGCACUUGUUUUUUUCAUUACGUGUUAAAAUAUUGUUUUCUGUAAAUAUCGAUGUUACCGGACUUGAUUGGUUUGUUGUUGGACUUAAUGAAGAUGCAUUAUUAGCCAUUUUUUCUUUUUCAUAUCAAUUUUCAUAGCUGCUUUAAUCAUUUUUAGUUAUGAAUGCAUUACCAAUGAUGCACUUGUUUUUUUCAUUACGUGUUAAAAUAUUGUUUUCUGUAAAUAUCGAUGUUACCGGACUUGAUUGGUUUGUUGUUGGACUUAAUGAAGAUGCAUUAUUAGCCAUUUUUUCUUUUUCAUAUCAAUUUUCAUAGCUGCUUUAAUCAUUUUUAGUUAUGAAUGCAUUACCAAUGAUGCACUUGUUUUUUUCAUUACGUGUUAAAAUAUUGUUUUCUGUAAAUAUCGAUGUUACCGGACUUGGGGGGGGGGAGUGGGGAGCCCCCUACUUAUAGGUACGAUGAGUAAAUUAUAGCUAUCGGAUAAAAACAAUUCAGAUGCUCAGGAUUGCGUCACGUGGCAAGCUUUGAUUAGUUGGAAUACAUCAUCAGUCAACACCACAUUAGCAUUUCGAUCUAAUAAUAUGCUGCCACGUCAUUGGUCUACGCUACAUCAUCAGUCAACGUCACAUAAUCAAUAAAUGCCACAUCAUUGGCCUAAUAGGAUGCUGCCACAUCAUCGGUCAAUGCCACAUCAUCACAUCGCACACGUGAACAGUUCCAUACAUGUGAAUAGUAAUGUAUACGUGAACAAUACUGUAUAUGUCAGUAGUAUCAUAAAUGUAAAUGGUGCCAUAUACCCCUUUAUGCUCCUCUUAAGGAUUUCAAUUGUUCCGAGCUAAAAAAUGCCAUCCGUUUUUUUGUCCAACUUCUCUUUAAUUAUGAAAUAAUCAAAAUACUAUUCAAAUACAUAAAAUACUCAAAUUAUAACAAAACACACACAAUCAAAUUUUAAAGGACUUAAACAUAUAAAAGUAGAAAUGUUAGUGAGACUUGGAGUACAAAAUGAUAAUUGUAUCCUUUAUAAAUACGCAUUCUCCAGUACUUAACACAUGUGCGAAGACAUAAGGAAAUAUUUUACUAGUAAGAAGGAGUUACAAGUAUUGUAAUAUUUUUGUCUUACAACCCAAAAAACCCAAUACACCUAAACUCUUAAAACACUAGAACAAAUGCUUAAAGCUCUCAGGGCACUCUCUUCUAACUCUUGACUUCUCUCAACUGAAUUGAAAAAUGGGAUGAUUGAAGAUGGUAAAUGAAGCCUCUAUUUUAUGGGCUUCAUGUUCCCUCUUUCUUUAAUUUUUAUUAUUAUACAAAACUUAGUGGAUAUCGAAAGUUACACUAAUAAUGUGUUACUUACUCAUGUCUCCUACUUAUCUCAACAAAUUAUGCCAAAAGUCAAAAUGUUGCAUGAUAACCACAUGCAAUUACUUGCUACAUGCAUGCAUAUGUUCAACAUUAUGUGUGUUUGCUCUUAUUAAACGACAUCAACUAGUCAUCUACCUAUUGAUCUUGGGGCUUAAUAUUAUAUGUUUCAUACCAGAAUUUGCAUAACAAAAAGUAAUGAAGAGAUUAAUUAAUAUGUAUGUGUCUCAGUGUGUGUACGGACAAAAUAUAUGCAUAAAGAGAGGCAUGGAAAAGGCUUAGCUGCUAAAUAAAAACAAUAACAAUUAUGUUUAUUACAUGGCCACAGUCAGCCUGGAGAGAGGUUCAUGAGAGACCUCUUUUAUUACAUUAAUUAAGAUAUGAUAAUCUGGAGAUAAAGUAAUACAGCCACUAGUGAAGAGGCCAUUUAUAUUAAAGCUCAUUAAUUCCUUCUCCUAAUUGCCAUUAAUGAACUUAUUUUGAAGAUCUUUCACUAUCUUUGGGUCCAACUGGAAUGCCUUGCCAAGAAAAUCGGGAUUGAUUGAAGGAUUGGCUCCAAAGACUGUGUCGGCUAUGGUAACUUCACCCGGGAAUUGGCUGUUUAGAGCAGAAUAGGCAGCUGCAUUUGUUUUUCCAAUGUUGAAUUGGAAGUGAAUCAAACCUUGUGGAAACACAAAAACAUCUCCCUUAUUUAGAACUUUUGCGAUGAGUGUGUUAUUCAGUUGGUCUGAUGUCACAAAACCGACAUAAAGAGUUCCUUCCAGGACUAAGAAGAUUUCGCUGGCACGGGGGUGAAUGUGAGGUGGCCUUUGGCCAUAUGGUGCAUAGUCAAUACAUAGUCAAUGCGGAAUGCUGAUAUGCCAAGGGUGUUGAGUCCUGGAAUUUGCUCAACAUUUGCAUCUGUUUCAUCAACACCAAGUCGAUUUGCUGUGUUUCCAGGCUUGCCUAGCCCUGAGAAGAAGAAAUCUUCUGCUCUCGCAAGCUUGGGGUCCUUGCAGAACUUCCCAUUCACAAACACUACAAGAACGCACAACACAUACGCACAAAGGGGGGGAAAAAGGAAUAAUUAAGUAGCAGAAGUACCCGCACAAAUUAUAUUGAAAAUUAUAUGUUUCAUCAGUUCAGUUUACGUACCACCAUCCUUGGGGUCAUUGAUGGCUACACAGACAUCUUGAAGAUGGCCAGGGUCAGUGGCAGAGGCCAAAGAAGAAGCCAAAGCCAAGAGGGCAAAACCUAUAAGAAAUUGAAUUACCUUCAUGGUGAUUAAGUCACAGGAUGUGCCUAUCUCAAACUUUAAUCAAGUGUUGUGAUUUGAGAAUCUUGUGAGGAACUAGACUAUUUAUAGAACCAAGUCCAUGAACGAGUUUGUGUGUUCAAUUAUUAGUCCUCGAAGCAAGUCAAGACUUAUUGGGUCCUUAAUAAUAUAACUUUGUAAUGUUUUGCAUCCCUCGUUUUCAUUUGUUUUUCAAAAUUUACAUGUAGAACUUGAUUGAUGGUACACAUCUUAAAUAUAAAUUGUAAAACAUACAAAAUAAUGUUUGGCUGACAAUGAUAUAACUUUGUAAUGUUUUGCAGCUCUCAUUUUCAUUUUUGUUUGUUUGCUGGUACACAUAUUAAAUGUAAAUUGGAAAACAUACAAAUCAAAGUCUGGCUACAAUGAUAAAUGAACCGACCAGCUUCGAAUUUUCCUGGGUAAAUUAAUCUAGUCUCAUCAAAACUGACUUGAUAUUAAUCUAAUUAAUGAAAAUUUUGUUAAAAAUUCAGCACUCUUUUAUAAACAUAACACUCUCAAUAUACAAAUAUGAAUAUAACACUCCCCAAAAUAAUUUAAUAUACAACCAACUCUAAUGAUCAACAUUCUCAAUAAAAAUACUAAAUUUUAGUAUUUGACUCAAAAUAUCUAUAGGGUAUCAAAAGAUUAUAUUAUAACUAAGGGAAAUUAUCAUUGCACCACCUUUAUUUUGUCUUAUGUUUAUCCAACCACUACAAAAUUUUAACAUGUACUUUGCACCAUUUUUCUUUUCACAUUUGUAUCAACUAGUCACUUUACAUUAACACUAUUAAAUAAUUUUAAUAAAAUGAUAAUUUUACCCUAAAUAAAUUAAAAGAUCAUUUUAUUUUAUAAAAAAUUUAAAAAAUAAAAAAAUAUAAUGGUUAUGUUUUUUAUUAAAUUUAGGGAUAUUUUUAUGAUUAUAAUUUUUAAUUUUAAAAAUUUUUAUAAGAUAAAAUAAUCUUUUAAUUUAUUUGGGGGUAAAAUUAUCAUUUUAUUAAAAUUAUUUAAUAGUGUUAAUGCAAAAGUGACUAAUUGAUACAAAUGUAAAAAAAAAAAUGGUGCAAAAUACAUGUUAAAAUUUUGUGGUGGCUGAAUGAACAUAAGGCAAAAUAAAGGUGGUGCAAUGAUAAUUUCCCUAUAACUAAUAUUAACAUAUUUGUUUAUUCUUAAUCCCAAAAGAAUAAUAUAACAAAAUUAUACAAUCCCAAAAGGGUGAGAUGAUCCGGAUGUCCUAACAAAAAAAUCAUCUAUAUCUUCUAAUAUCAUCACGUGGCCAAAACUCAAAAUAUAUUUACAGCCGCUGGGUCGGUUUGGUGUACCUGCAACCUCCUGUUGGGGGGAGGAAAAUAUAAUAAAAACCGAAUGAGUAUAAAACUCAGUGAGCUUAGUGAGUAUAUAGUAAUUUUUGAAAACAAAUUUUUACUUUAAAAGAAAUAAUCAUAUCAUUUCCAAACACAAUUUCAUCAAACCAUAUGCGAGAAACCAGUAAUAAAUCAUUUAACAUUUAAAUCAGAUUACCAACCUUGAAAAGCAUAUAUAAUAUCGUAGCUAAUAACCAUGGAAAUCAUAUCACAAUAUCAUAUAGAAUACACAAAUAUGAAAAUCAUCACUAAACAAGUACCAAGAGGAAUAAUCUCAUCGUAUCCGGACCUCAACGGAUGGACAAUGACGUACUAUUUAGAUAUUGUCACACCCCGGAACUACACGGAUAGACAAGAAAAUAUCAUCUCAUAUCUCAUGAUAUAUGUGCAUGUAUAAUCUAGUCCCCAAAGGACAAAAGCGCCCAAGCACAUGGCCCAAAGCCUCUAUGUGUACUCAGACGAGCCCUCAAUGCAUGUAUCUCAUAUGUAUCAUCUGUAUAUGUAUCACUGUUAUCAUCAUAUCACAUGCAUAUGCCCCCAAAAGGCAGAAGUGCCUAAACACACGGCCCAAAGCCUCUAUGUGUGUUCAGACGGGCCCCAAAGACCUCUCAUCUCUAUACUUAUAAAAGAGAAGGGUAUUGUCGAAUGAUUUUAAAAACAAUCUCUAUACUCAUAUUCAUAUAAAUUAUAAUCAUACUUUAAAUCAUACAUUUCUUUUUAUUAUCACAUCUAAAUCCACUUUUCUCAUCUUUAAAAUACCAUAAUAUUUUAUUCAAAGUCGAUACGAAAAACUAUUAACGAAACAUUUUAAUAUAAUAUCAAUGCGUGAAUAAAAUCCAUUUCAAGAAAAUCAUUAAUGCGUGAAUAAAAUCCAUUUCAUAUCAAUGCGUGAAUAAAAUCCAUUUCAAGAAAAUCAUUAAAUCAGAACAUUUAAAAUACUUAUUUCGCAAACAUACUUUACUAUCAUAAUUAAUUAUGAAAAUAAAUUUUGUAUAUUCCACUCACAGUGACGAUGUUUACGCUCGGUUAUCGUCCACGUCCGCGGACUGACUCUCACUUGCGGAUCCUCCUAAAUCAAGAAAACGACAUAAUUAUUUUCUAUAAAUCAGAAUUAGGACUAAAUUUAUGCAACAAACUCGAAACAAACAUCUAUCCAUAAUUUACAACUCCCGUAUCGAUAAAAUUACUAAAAUACCCUUAAAUAUGUAAAUCAUUAAGAUACUUCGAAAUUAUAAAUCACCGAAUUACCCUCGGAAUCAUAAUUACACCCAAUCUUCAAUUUCAGGAAUUACUAAAAUAUCCACAGGCUCAUAAAUUACAAAACCGCUAUCAAAAUGUGAAAUUACCGAAUUGCCCUUACCGGUCAACGGUGGCCGGAAUUCAAGCAACGGUGACCGGGAAGCUCAGGUCAGACGCUUCUCGCUGAGCUGAGUUCAAUGAUACCGGCAGUGUGCUCCCACGCGUGGCGACGGCACCAGAAUCUAGCUCGACAGUCGUGUUACUACAACGGCUGAACCACGACAAAUCGACGGCUCUUGGUGGGUGUGGAUGGUCAGAAAAUUAAAGGGGAGUCGUGGGGAACAAAAUCCAGCCGGUGCUGUCACCCAAAACCGGUGAAAAUCUCAACAGAGCAAGGUGGAAAAGUAGCGGGUUUUUCAAGCUUUGGUCACCGACGUUCUAGCUGUUUUCCGGCGACGUGGACGAUUGGGGCAUGAUGGCCGGUUUGCAAGCUUCAGAUUGGUACCAAACUUGACCGGUUGGGUGGCCGGAAUCACAAGAUAUCGCCGGGUCGAAUUUCAGGUCAAACGGGUCGGGUUUCGGGUCGGUUUACAGCUUCUCUCACUCUCUCGUACGUGUGUAUCUGUUUCCCUGUGUCAAACUUCUUCUUUUACUUUUAUUUACUUUUUAACCGCCUCAUCUUUUUUUUUUUUUUUUUUCCACGUGUGUUACAAUAAAACCCAAAACAGGUUAGACACGUUUCCACCAAUCUUCAAAACGAACAUAAAAUAUAAUAAGAAACAAUAUUUUAACGCGUUUCCAAAGCAUAAUUAAAAUAUAAUUUUUUCAUUGGAAAGAAACGAGUUGAAGAAUUUAUGAAAAUGGGUGAGAAACAAAUUCAAGUCUCUGGCCACAGGCUAACAGUUGAGAGUCAUGUUCUGUAAAUAUCGAUGUUACCGGACUUGAUUGGUUUGUUGUUGGACUUAAUGAAGAUGCAUUAUUAGCCAUUUUUUCUUUUUCAUAUCAAUUUUCAUAGCUGCUUUAAUCAUUUUUAGUUAUGAAUGCAUUACCAAUGAUGCACUUGUUUUUUUCAUUACGUGUUAAAAUAUUGUUUUCUGUAAAUAUCGAUGUUACCGGACUUGAUUGGUUUGUUGUUGGACUUAAUGAAGGUGCAUUAUUAGCCAUUUUUUUCUUUUUCGUGGCUGCUUUAGCCAUUUUUUCUUUUUCGUGGCUGCUUUAACCAUUUUUAGUUCUAUGAUUGCUUUACCAAGUCAAUGAUGCACUUGUUUUUUUUCAUUAAGUGUUAAAAUACUGUUUUCAGUGGUCACGUUAAUUGAUAUAUAUCAUUUUCCAUCUUAUUUUCAGUGAUCACAAAUCAAAAUGUGAAUAAGCUGGUGUCGGCACGUUUGGUUAGAGAUAGUGAUAUCAUUUUCCAAUGUCAAGUGAUAUAUAUCAUUUCAACUUUAAAAGCUAAUUUUAAUAUUUAAUAAAUAUUUUUACAAAUAACUUUUAGUAAAAUCAUGUAAAUUUUGAAAAAUAGAAAAAAAUAGUUUUUUAAAAUCUGAUUUCGAGAAUCACUUUUAUACUUAAUAUAUAAUUUAUAUAUAUCCUCAUAUAUAAGACAAAAAUUCAAAAUCAUCCUUAUUAAUUAGAAAAUAAAAUUAUUAAUUUUAAAAAAUUAUUAUUAUUAUCAAUUAUAUUGAGAUAACAAAAUAAAAAAUAAAAUUGAUAAUAUAAAAUAUUUAUUUUAGUUAUCAAUUAUUAUAUAUACACAACUAAAAAUAUUUUAUUUACAUGUUUAUAAAUGUGUAAUUAAAUUUUAUUCAACAAAUGUUCACUUCACUUAUUUAUAUUCUUACAACAUUUUAACAUUAAGAUUUACCAAAUACAUACAACCGCUUUUAAAACUCACAACAUUUUUAAAAAUAAAUUUUACUAAACUUUUAAUUGGUUCUCUAUUAUAGCUGAUUAUUUCUACAGUAUGACUAACAAUAAUUAUUUUAAAAACUAUAACAUUAUUAACUUAGCCCUUAGUGACUCAAUUGAUUAAAAUUAAGUCAAUUAAAUCACUAAGUUAGGAAAACAAACCGCCCUUUAGUUACUUUCUUAAUGUAAAUAUUAGUAAAUUAUAAUGCAAAUAAAGAUAAUAAUCUCUUCCUUUGUUCACUUUUUUAAUUAAAAUUAGUUGCAUUAGCUAUUUUGAAUAACAAAUUGAAUUGAUCACGAAAUAAUAAUCUCUUCUUCCAAUCAUAUGAGUGGGUUUGAGUGACUCAGGUAGUCAUGGGAAUUUGUUUUAUUUGAUUUCUACACUUGGCUUUUUAGGAUUAUUUGUAAGGACAUUAAUUAUGUAUUUUUAAUGGGUUUAUAUGUUAAUUAUAUUGCAUGUAAUAUUAAAGGUUUGUCAACAAGUUGGCAACCAUUUAAGAGUAUCUCCAAAAAUCUUUAUAAAUUUUAUUCUUUAAAUAUCUAUUUACUUACCUAUGUGACAAAUAGAAGGGUGAAAAAAUAUGAUAUUCUCUAAAAGUCUCUUCAAAUAAAAAUAGGUUAAUAUUAUUUUAAUCAAAUAAUAAUUUUUUUAAAGGAAAAGUCAAUAUCAAUUAAAGCACUUAUCUCUCUUUCUCCAAUGAAAAGUAAGAAAACAUAAAUUGAAGAUGGAGAAAUCAAAUCUUCAAAUUUAAAAAGAGAUAAUCAUUUCUUAUUUAAAAAAUCUUAAUUGAAGUGUCUUUUGAAGUCGUAAAUAUUGAUGUGGCUCUUUAAAUAAGUAAUAAAAUCUUAUUUGAAGAGCGUUUUGGUGAUGCUCUAAUUAGUUAAAAUGCAUUCAUGUCAGUAUUUAAGAUACGUAUCACUUUCUGGCAACAAUGUUAAUAUAUGUUUCCGUUCGAACUUUCCACUUGCUGCUUGACCCAUGUAAGUUAUGAAAAAGUUUCCGAGAAUUGACUUACAAAAGGAUGCUAAUCUCUUUUCUUUUUCUCUUUUUUCCGGGGGAAAUUGCAGGUCAAGAAUCUGGAGAGGUCAUAUUUCAAAAUGUCGAGGCUCCAUUGUUAGCUAUUUUGAAUAACAAAUUGAAUUGAUCACGAAAUAAUAAUCUCUUCUUCCAAUCAUAUGAGUGGGUUUGAGUGACUCAGGUAGUCAUGGGAAUUUGUUUUAUUUGAUUUCUACACUUGGCUUUUUAGGAUUAUUUGUAAGGACAUUAAUUAUGUAUUUUUAAUGGGUUUAUAUGUUAAUUAUAUUGCAUGUAAUAUUAAAGGUUUGUCAACAAGUUGGCAACCAUUUAAGAGUAUCUCCAAAAAUCUUUAUAAAUUUUAUUCUUUAAAUAUCUAUUUACUUACCUAUGUGACAAAUAGAAGGGUGAAAAAAUAUGAUAUUCUCUAAAAGUCUCUUCAAAUAAAAAUAGGUUAAUAUUAUUUUAAUCAAAUAAUAAUUUUUUUAAAGGAAAAGUCAAUAUCAAUUAAAGCACUUAUCUCUCUUUCUCCAAUGAAAAGUAAGAAAACAUAAAUUGAAGAUGGAGAAAUCAAAUCUUCAAAUUUAAAAAGAGAUAAUCAUUUCUUAUUUAAAAAAUCUUAAUUGAAGUGUCUUUUGAAGUCGUAAAUAUUGAUGUGGCUCUUUAAAUAAGUAAUAAAAUCUUAUUUGAAGAGCGUUUUGGUGAUGCUCUAAUUAGUUAAAAUGCAUUCAUGUCAGUAUUUAAGAUACGUAUCACUUUCUGGCAACAAUGUUAAUAUAUGUUUCCGUUCGAACUUUCCACUUGCUGCUUGACCCAUGUAAGUUAUGAAAAAGUUUCCGAGAAUUGACUUACAAAAGGAUGCUAAUCUCUUUUCUUUUUCUCUUUUUUCCGGGGGAAAUUGCAGGUCAAGAAUCUGGAGAGGUCAUAUUUCAAAAUGUCGAGGCUCCAUUGUUCUGGGCAGAAGCCCCAACACUUCAAAGUAACUGAGAAUGACUUGGACUUCCCUUGCGAUAGAUAGGUAGACGGGAAGGGAAACGGGAUUGCAGAUAAAAGCAAAGAGAAAUAAUAGAACGAUGAUUAUUGUAUUUAGAAGAAAUUGUUUCACCUUAUUCAAAUGACGCCAUGGCUGUGUUUGUGAUGUCAGUGCUGACGAUGGAUUGUAGUUUGUGUCCAAAUGUACCUUCUUCUUUUUUUGGGUCUGAACCAUCCGGUAUCCGGCGAUCACAUUGGGCCCCGACUACUCCGGAUUCGGGACGGGUGCUAAUAAAGCCCUCCCAACGAGGGCGACUCCCAGAGAACUCGAACUGAAGAGCUAACCCAAUCAACCCACCUAAGGAGUUCAGCCGGCGCCAGCUGAACCAACACCUCGUUGGUUCCAAAUGUACUUUUCUAUGUAUAAGGAUUCGUAAAAAACGUUGGAGAUUAGAAAAGAAAAUAAAUAGAUCCUUCCUCAAGCUGUCGGUGCUCUUCUAUUAGAGUUGGGACCAGUGGCACCUCUUUAAUCUCAUCAUAAAAUUCCUUUUUCAGUUAUAUUUACUUUAUUUGUGAUAAUGUCUUUUUUUUCCUUUUUUUAUUUUAAGAACACUUUUAAUUUUUUAUUUAAUUUUUUUAGUUAAAACUUUAAAAGUAGUAGUGUUAUUCAUUUUUUAUUUCUUUUGUAAUCUUAUUAUUAUCUUACGCAUAAAUUAAAAGAUUUAAAAAAAAAUUUAGGUGAUGAAUUUUUUAAUGUUAAUUAUUUAAUUAAAUUAUACAUAUGUUAAACUAUAAUUUAAAAAUAAUUUUUAAGUACACAAAUAUUUAAUUAAUAAGAAAUAUGAAAAGAAUAAUAGAUUAUUUCAAAUUUUGUAUGGUUUAUUUUAGUUAGAUAAGAAGUAACCGGCAAAAAAUUUAAAAAAAGAUUGAUUAUAAUUAUAAGUAAUUUUUUUUAAAGAUAGAUUAUGAAUAUAAGUGAUUUAUUAAAAAAAAAAUUAUGUAUGAUUAAUUUUAUUUGAAGCAGGGUUUUGAAGGAUAAUGAAGGGGUCCCAAACGCUGUGGGUUUGUUGGCUCUUCCGCUGUCAAAAGUCACGUAUGCUUGGAAGCUUUUAAAAAGCAUGAUGGUAAUGUAAUACUGCAAUUGGAUCAUGGAUUUUUCAUUUAAGAAGAUAGCCACCUGGCGGCAACUCUGAUAUACAAAACAUGUAUUUCAGAAUACGGAAUCUAUCCAAACAUAUAGCAUGCAAGUGCGAUUGCCAGCUCGAGCAGUUUUUAUUGCGGAAUUCUUUCAAACACAUAGCACGCAUGUGAAGUUCCCGCAUUGGACCUUCCAAGAUGUUAGUUUCUCUAUUCAGAAACUGAACUCAAUGCCUCAUCCCCUCCUUCAAAGCCAUGACCCUCGUGGCCGCGGUUAACACCUCAUAUUGGGAAAGGGACUAUCACAACCAGUUGUAAAUUAAGCGGAAACAAAACUUUUUCUCUUUUUGUGUGAUUAAAAUAUGAUGUGUACCACAAAUAAAUAGGCAGAAAAAUAAACUAAUAAAUCUAAAGUAAAAACCAACCACAAGAGACACAAAUUUUUAUGUGAAAACCCCAAAGCGAAAAAAACUAUGGGACCGUAAUCCGAUAUAAUCUUUCAAUAUAUUAAUGAGAUUACAACACAAAUUCUUCUCUAGAUAAUACUAAAAGCUACCAACAUCAAGAAUCUCAAUAUUCUUGGCUUACAGUAACAGUCUAAUAAACAGUCUCUCUAAUAAGUAGGUAUCUUAAAUAAUAGCCAACGAGAGAAUAAAAUAAAAAUUAAGACCAAUAAAAUUAUAGAAGGCGAUGUCAAGAACUUACCCUCAAAAUUUAAGAGAAAAUGGAGUUAAAAUCGCCUUCUGAUCAUCUAAUUAAAGAUUGAAAAUCUUACCCCCAAAUAAUCUCAACUCUACUGUCUAUUCUUUUCCCUCCCGUCUUUCUCUUCUCUCAAAAGGUUACUGCCGCCUCCACUUAUGCUUGUUUAUAUAGCCAAAUUUCAUGAAAAUUUUCAUUUGCCCCCUUUAAGUUUUCUUUAAUUACUUAAUUAUCCAAACUUAUUAAACUUUGAGCUUGGGCCAACCAAAUAAGAUGGACCCAACAAAUCUCCCUCUUCAGAUCAUAUGGGGGGCACCACUAAACCCGCUUUCUAUAUACAACUUUAUAGCUUUUCCUUGGACAAUGAUUUUGUCAUCAUAUCUGACCCAUUCUCCAUUAUGUGUAUCUUUUCAACCUACAACUGUUUCUUCUCAAGCACAUCUCGUAUCCAAUUAUACCUCACAUCAAUAUGCUUGGAUUUUGAAUGGUAUGUCGAAUUCUUUGCCAAGUGAAUGACACUCUGACUGUCGCAGUACACAACAAAAUUAUCUUGCUUCACACCCAAAUCUUGUAAGAAAUUCUUCAUCUACAAGGUUUCUUUGCAACCUUCAGUGAUUGCAAUAUACUCUGCUUCUGUGGUAGACAAGGCAACACAUUGCUGAAGUUUAGACUGCCAUGAGACUGCUCUCCUUGCAAAGGUGAGCAAAUAUUCUGAUAGAGAUUUUCUGGAAUCAACAUCUCCUGCCAUGUCUGGAUUAAUGUACACUUAUAACACAAGUUUAUCACCAUCAAAACAUAAACAUGCAUUGGAAGUGCCUCUAAGGUAUAUGAGAAUCUACUUUACUACAGUCCAGUGUUCUUUGCCCAGAUUAGAGAGAAACCGACUGACUACACUAACUGCAUGAGCAAUAUCUGGUCUUGUACAAACCAUGGUGUACAUCUAACUACCAACUGCUGAAGUAUAAGAAACUCAUUUCAUCUUUUGCUUCUAUUUCUCACUUGUAAGAGAAUGCUUGGAAGUAAGCUUGAAAUGGCCUGCAAGUGGAGAACAAACUGGUUUUGUCUUGCUUAUGUUAAAUCUUUCAAGAACCUUUUCAACAUAUAUUUCUUGAGAUAACCAUAACUUCCCAGAUUUUUUAUCGCGGGAAAUCUUCAUGCUAAGAAUCUGUUUCACCGGUCUUAAGUCCUUUAUUUGCAAAAGACUUGCUAAGCUCCCUCUUCAGAUUGUCAAUCUUACUAGCAUCUCAGCCAACAAUCAACAUAGCAUCCACAUAAAGCAAAAGAAUAAUGAAAUAAUUAUCACCAAAUUUCUUCACAAAAAUACAAUAGUCACACAUAGUCUUACUGAAACCAUGAUUCUCCAUAAAAGAAUCAAACUUCUUGUACCACUGCCUUGGUGCCUGUUUUAGCCCAUACAAACUUUGGCUCCUCCCCCACCUUUCUUUCUUUUCUGAAAUAAGUGCAUCUGACUUAGAGGGAACCGCUUCAACACUUUUUCUUCUAGAUUCUUCAUUCUGCAGCCUAUCUGUAACCAUAUUCAAGGUUAAUUUCCCAUUCGACACUGAAUUAUUUACCGACACCACUAAUGUCUCCCAAUUAUCAGGCAAAGAACUAAGCAACAACAAUACUUGUAACUCAUCAUCUAGAAUAUUUUUCAUAGUAGUCAACUGAUCAACCAAGCCUUGAAACUCACUAAUGUAUUCAGUUGUACUGCGCCCUUCCUUGUAUUUCAAAUUAACAAGUCUUUUCAUCAGAUUGACUUUAUUAUGUGCUGUCGGCUGCUCAUAAAUCGUCUCUAAUUUUCUCCAAAUAACAUCAACCUUGGAUUCUUUCGCGUCACGGUGAUACACACUUUGAUCAAUCCAUGAUCUAAUAGUACCCACAAUCUUCUAGUUUAAUUGAGCCCAUUUCUUAUUAUCUAAAUCGGCGGGUCUAUCUUAUUCGCCUUCAAUGGGUUCAUGUAAGUCUUUUAUGUACAACAAAUCUUCCAUCCUAGACAUCCAAAUACCAUAAUUUCAUGAUUUUAAUUUAAUCAUGCAUGCCAAGGACUCCUCCAUCUCAACCACAUAAGUAAUAAAAAUACAAAACCUAACGCUCUGAUACAACUCUGUUAGGAAAAUGCACUACCACAACCAGUUGCAAGUUAACCGGAAACAAAAUUUUUUCCCUUUUUGUGCGAUUAAAAUAGGAUGUAUACCACAAAUAAAUAGACAGAAAAAUAAACCAAUAAAUCCAAAGCAAAAACCAACCACAAGAGAUAUAGAUUUUUACAUGGAAAAUCCAAUAUGGGAAAAACCACGGGACCGUAGUAUAAUAUAAUCUUCCACUAUAUUAAUGGGAUUACAGUACAAAUUCUUCUCUAGAUAAUACUAGAGGUUACCAACAUCAAGAAUCUCAAUAUUCUUAGCUUAUAGUAAUAAUUUAAUAACAGUUUCUCUAACACGUGGGUAUCUCAAAUAGUAGCCAACGAGAGAAUAAAAUAAAAAUUAAGACCAAUAGAAUUAUAGAGGGCAAUGCCAGGAACUUACCCUCAAAAUUUGAGAGAAAACAAAGUUAGAAUCACCUUCCGAUUGUCUAAUUAGAGAUCGAAAAUCUUAGUUAGAAUCACCUUCCGAUUGUCUAAUUAGAGAUUGAAAAUCUUGCCCCCAAAUAAUCUCAAAUCCAUUGUCUUUUCUUUUCUCUCCCGUCUUUUUUUUGCCGCAAAAGGUUGCUGUCACCUCCACUUAUGCUUGCUUAUAUAGCCAAAUUUCAUAACAAAUUUUAUUUGCCCCUUCAAUUUUCCUUUAAUUGUUUAAUUACCCAAACUUAUUAAACUUUGAGCUUAGGCCACCAAAAUGAGAUUGACUAACACCUCAAAAGACGAUUACUACGCAGCCGUAAACCACAUCGCCAACAUAGUCCGUCACGAAAUAGAUCCAGAACGCACCCUCAACAGACUCAACCUCACCCUCACCUCAGAGAUUGUCUACUGCGUCCUCCGCAUCUGCCAUACUACUUCCCCUUCUGAAUCCCUCCGCUUCUUCACCUGGGCCUGCUCCCAGCCCUAAUACUCCCCCACCUCCCUCGAAUUCGAACAGCUCAUUUGAUCCUUGCCCACCACAAACUCUACCAGUCUAUGUGGAAUCUACAUUCUUUUGGCAUUUGAUUGCGUUACGCACAAGCACGCUGUUAUUUAUUUUUAAGCAACAAUGGUGUUUGUAAUUAUUGCCUUUUCUGGCUUUAUCUAGUGUUUAUCUGAGUAAUAAACAAUACUAAAUAGUUUGGUUGAUGGACUCUUGGACUUGGUGAAGAAACGUGUUUUCAUUUCUUAAAUAAAACAUUAUACACUGAGAGUUAUUUAUAGAUGCAGAGGCUACAUUUUUUCAAAGAUUACAUAUGUGAAUACGGAAGGAAAUGUGUCAAUCCGUUCGACGCGGAUCUUGUCUUUGACAAGUGCAUAUUAUCCUUUUGACAAGUGUGGAUUCUGUCUUUGAAAGCUUCAUUCAAUGCCGUUUUUUUUAUCCUCAACACUCCUCCUCAAGCUGGUGCAUAGAUAUCUUGCAUACCCAACUUGUCUAGGAAUUUUGUAAAUGCCCUGCUUGAAAUGGCCUUCGUUAAAAUAUCUGCAAGUUGAUAUUCUGAUCGAAUUUUCGGCAGUUCUAAGAUUUUUUCAUCUAAUUUCUCAUUGAUGAAAAAUCUAUCUACCUCGACAUGUUUUGUUCGAUCAUGUUGAACUGGGUUAUGAGUAAUAUCUCGUGUAGCUUUAUUGUCACAGUAUAGUUGUAUUGGUUGUUGUGACGGAUAGCCCAAAUCAUUUAAGAUAAAACUUAUCAAUAGCCCUUUACAUACCCCAAGGGCCAUGCCUCGAUAUUCUGCUUUAGCGCUCGAACGGGCAACGACAUGUUGUUUCUUGCUUCUUCAUGUGACAAGGUUGCCUCCCACAAAAGUAAAGUAUCCUAAAGUAGAGCGUCUAUCACUAACUGACCCGGCCCAAUCUGCAUCAGUAUAAACUUCUAUGUUGCUGUAAUCUUUAUUUUUGGAAAAUAGGAUUCCUUUUCCUGGAUUUGUCUUCAUGUACCUCAGGAUCCGCAUUACUGCUUUCAUGUGUUGUUCUCCGGGAUUAUGCAUAAACUGACGUACAACACUCAAUGCAUAAGCAAGAUCUGGCCUUGUGUGGGACAAGUACAUCAAUCUUCCAAUCAACCUUUGAUAUCUUCCUUUGUCUACUGGAACUUGGUCUGAGGUAAUACAAAACUUCAGUCCUUCUUCUAUUGGGGUGUCAAUAAAUCUGACAAGCUGUCAUUCCUGUUUCGUGCAAUAGAUAUAAGGCAUAUUUCCUUUGAGACAGAAAGAUUCCUCCCUUAGAUCGAGAAACCUCAAUUCCAAGAAAGUAUUUUAAGGCACCUAAAUCCUUCAUCUCAAACUCUCUUGACAAGUACUUCUGAAGAACCUCUGUUUCUUCCUCGUCGUUGCCUGUAACUACCUUAUCAUCCACAUAGACAAUAAAGGCAGUGAUUUUAUCUUGUCAUUUUUUAAUGAAUAAGGUAUGAUCUGAAUUGCUUUGGUUAUACCCAAAACGAACCAUAGCCUUUGUGAAUUUCUCGAACCAUGCUCUUGGGGAUUGCUUCAACCCAUACAAUGAUUUCUUCAAUUUGCAUACUUUUUUAUUGAGUCAUUCUGGUCCACUGCAUCCUGGUGGCAAAUCCAUAUAAAUUUCUUCAAACAGGUCUCCAUGGAGGAAAUCAUUUUUUACAUCAAACUGUUGCACUGGCCAAUCCAAGUUGACUGGUAAUGAUAAUAAGAUACGAAUAAUAUUAAUUUUUGCUGCCGGUGCAAACAUAUCAGUAUAAUCAAUCCCGUAGGUUUGGGUGUAACCCUUAGCUACGAGUCUUGCUUUGUAUCGUUCAAUAGAGCCAUCUGCUUUGUACUUUAUAGUGUAGAUCCAUCGACAACCCACUGGUUUCUUUUCUGGUGGAAGAUCAACUAGUUCCCAUAGUCGCUUUCCACUUUGGGUCUUUUAAGGCUUCCUGCACACUAUUAGGAAUAGAUACAGUAGAUAAUUGAUUCACAAAUGACUGAUUUGAUUCUGACAAGCGAUGGUUAGACACAAAAUGACUCAUAGGGUAAUUAACUAUACUAGAGAAGUCAGGCUCGUAUGUGGGUUUAGGGAUACCUCUAUUUUGACGUUGGGAAAGAAUUCUUUUGAUUGGACUUGUGGUAGGAACAUCCUCUACAGACGAUUGGUUAGGUAUUUCUUCAUGUGACUCAUUCUCGAUUGCAGUUGUGUCUAAGUUAUUUUGCUCCCCAAAUGUGUCUUCACUUAUCUCAGCCUGAGAAUCACCACCAUUUUCUUUUCCAGUAUCUUGAAGGUUUACAACCUCAAUGGAAGAUUGAUCUUCUUUAGGUGGAAGAUAUAUAAGAUUAUGAAUUUCCUCUUCAUUAUACUCCCCCUGAAAUUCAGGCUUUGACAAGUAGUAUAUGAUAUCUUCAUGAAAGACGACAUCCAUGGUGAUGUAUAUUUUUCUUGAUGGUGGAUCAUAUCAUCGGUAUCCCUUUUGCUGUAAGGCAUACCCUACAAACACACAACGUAGUGCUCGAGGAGAUAAUUUGUCUUGUUGCGGCAAAUGAACGAAGGCAACACAGCCAAACACAUGUGGGGGCAGAUUCGGCACAUUUGGUGACAUAAUUGCAUUAUUCAGAACUUGAAAAGGAGUCUGGAAUCCAAGGGAGCUUGAAGGUGUUCGAUUGAUCAAGUAUGCUGCGGAUGCCAGUGUUUCUCCCCAAUAAGAUAGUGGCAUGUGGGCUUGGAUUCGUGAUGCUCGAACAACUUCUAGUAAAUGUCUGUUUUUUCGUUCAGCAACCCCAUUUUGUUGGGGUGUCCCCACACAAGUGGUUUGAUGGACAGAUCCUUGUGAUUUCAGAAACUGUUGAAUUGUUGUGCUCAUAUACUCGCCUCCAUUAUCAGUAUGUAGAACUCGAAUUUGUGUCAUAUGAUCAAAAGUCAUAUGAUCAGUUGCCCCAGAAUCAAUUAUCUAUGUACUAUUAAUAACAGGUGUAAGAGUUUUAAGGGCCAUACCUGGACUGACAGAGGUUGCGAUUUGCACUGAAGAUUCUUUUCUAAGAUCUGUAGUGGAUGUGGAUUCAGCUACUGCAGUUUUUGAUCCAUACUUGGUGUUCUUCUUUCGAGUAUCCUACCAGUCAGGAUAUCCAAUGAUUUCAAAACAUUGUUCUUUCGUAUGACCCUUCUUUCUACAAUGAGUGCAAUGGAGUGAUGACUUGUCAACAAACUUCCUUUGAGGCUGCUGUCGUGCUAUCAUAGCAAACGUUUCUGAGUCGACCUUCUUGUUUAGUUUGCUUUGCCGCACAUCUUCUCUUCAGAUCAGAGAAUAACAUUAUUCUAAGUCUGGGAUAAUUUCUUUUCGUAGAAUUUCUCCACGAACUUGGUCAAAUUCUUCAUCUAGCCUAGCAAGAAAAAUGUGCACUCUCAAUCUUUCAACAGACCUUCUGUAUAUUACAACAUCUUCUGAAUCCUUCACGACCACUUUAUCUCAGUGAUCAAGUUCUCGAAAUAUUUUGAUCAAUUCUCCAUAGAAUUUAGAGAGUGGUUGUCCAUUUUGCUUGGUAGAGAAUGCCUUCUGGUUUAGAGUGAAAACUUGUAAUUCAUCGCUUUCAUCAUAGAAGGCUUUUGAUAAUGCAUCCCAAAUUUCGUAGGUUGUAGGAAUUCGUAAAUAUCGCUUCAUGAUCUCCGGAGACAUGGAUAUGAGUAACCAUCUUUUUGCUUUUUGGUUCUCACUAUACCAUUUCUCAUAUUCCUUUGAAGAUUCCUCAUAUGGCUUUGUACUACUACGAAUAUAUGAGAGUUUUUCUCUUUCUGCAAGAUGCAUCUCCAUUAUUUGAGACCAAACAUCGUAGUUUGUCUCAGUGAGGAUAAUUUUAGCAUUAAAUACUCUAUCAGAUUGAACAGAUUGAAUGACAACAGGACUAGAUUCAGUUGGAGUUUUCUCCAUUUUUUUUUGUUUUUUUUUCGUCUAGAUUGAAAGAAGAAAAAAAAAAUAACCUUUUUAGAUAACAAAACGACAAGUCGUUUAGCCACUGCUUGAAAAACCGACAUGUCAGUUAUGGUGGAAUAUAAACGACAUGUCGUUUUAAUCCUGCUGCACUUCUGGAGACUAAACGUCACGUCGUUUUAUCUCUAAUUUAAAAACGACAUGUCGGUUUUAAUAUAAUAAAAACGACACGUCGUUUUUACUGCUGCACACCGGAGAUAAAAAAUGACAUGUCGGUUUACGUCUUCUUCAACCUCUGGAGCGCGUGAGAGCGCGUGAAUGAUGACAGAGGUGCGUGGUUGACUGGCCGUGGCUUCGGGUGGCGCGUGUGAGCGCGUGGAAAUGUGUUUAAAUGCGAAAUUUUUACAGUUUCCUCACUGGAAACUGAGAAAUGUGAUGGUAUUCUUGGUUUUUUUAGGAACACACUCUUGGAAAAUUGAUGGGAUUGUUGAUAAAUUUGUUAACUCAAGUUUUUUACGUAUGAGUGGCUUGUUUCUUGAUCGGCAUGGAUAUCUGUAAUGGUAGGAAUGGGUUUAAGAAAGAAAAUGGUGGGAAAAAUGGUUGUGGGAGGAAUUUGGUUUCCUCUGUUUUUGUUACAAACAGAGCAGCGGAACGUGAAGAAACUUGAGAGUAUUCAUGGCUCUGAUACCAUGAAGAAACGUGUUUUCAUUUCUUAAAUAAAACAUUAUACACUAAGAGUUAUUUAUAUAUGCAGAGACUACAUUUUUUCAAAGAUUACAUAUGUGAAUACGAAAGAAAAUGUGUCAAUCCGUUCGGCGCGGAUCUUGUCUUUGACAAGUGCAGAUUAUCCUUUUGAUAAGUGCGGAUUAUCCUUUUGAUAAGUGCGGAUUCUGUCUUUGAAAGCUUCAUUCAAUGCCGUUUUAUUUGAUUCUCAACACUUGGUAUUGGACUUUGAAUUGACACAAAGCCGGUUGACUCGGAGAAAUGAUUACUUUGAACAUUUUUCGCAUGCAUCAUUUGCUCAUAACUUUGUUGUUCAUCCACAUGAAAUCAAAUACUCAUUUGGUAUGAUAAAAAUCAAUGGGCAAUCAUUUUUAUGUUAGCUUAAAAACUAGGUUAUCUUUGCAUAACUAUAGUUUUAGAGUUUCUGUUUAUGUACUUUAUGCUUUCAACUUCUGAUGAUGAAUCGAGUGUUGAGCCCAGAGCAAGCUUUCCUGUUGAAGGAUAUUAAUUUGCAACUAAUUCAUCGGUUACACAUACAGUUAGAAAAAUGUGUACCCGAAUGCCAUGUUAUUGCAUUUACUAAUGUAUAGUUCAUAAGCAUGUCUCUCACUGUAUACACGAUUAAGGGUGGGUCUGCCUACUACUUUAUAACAAUUUGGGAUGUUCAAAAUUCAAUUCUAUCUGCUCAAUCCGUCUGAUCCGUAGAAAUCCAAUCUGUAAAAAUUUGAUUCGCAGAUUGGUGGAUUGGAUUGAAAAUUUGAUAAUCUGCAAUCGGUGGAUUGGAUAUGGAUCUACUUCUAUAAAUCCGCAAACAAAUAAUAAGUAGUUAUUUAAUUAAAAAAUAAAACUUAUAAAUAUGACAUUAGUACUUACUAGUAAAUAAAUAAGUUAAAAUAUAGUUACAUUAACACUAUAUUAUAUAUUAUCAAAUAAUAAUAUAACAUAAAAAAUAAUUAAAUAAACAAAUAUAGCUUCCUAAAUAGUUAAUUUCAUAUAUUGAUCUAAACAAAUAAGAUUUUUUUCUUUUUAAUGUGUUAUAUUUUGAAACUUUAAAUGUAUUUUCUAGCUUUAUUUAAAUAAUUAAUUAAUUUAAAUCUUAUUUAAUUUUAAAUUUGAUCGGUAUUAAAAUUAGUUUUAUAUUUAAUUUUUUUAUUUAUUUAGUUCGUGCAUUGGACAGAAUUAAGAAUUUUCAGUCCGUAAACCAACCUACAAAAUGGUGGAUUGGAUAUAGAUCGGGUCAAAUUCGCAUCCGAUCCGUAAACGUAUGAAUUGGAUUUGAAUUUCACCAAUCCAUGGAUUGAAUUAGAUUGAAAAUUUAUAAUCCGCAAAAUCGUGGAUCGAAUAUGAAUUGAUAUCCAAUCCGUAAAAUCCAAUCAGCGAACACCGCUAAUAACAAUUUAUGUUAUACUGACAAUAUUUUCCGUACUGAUCACAAGUUUAAAGUUUUGCUUCUCGAAAUGGCUCCUUUCAUUUGUUUAUUUAUUUAUUAAAAUUGACAUUUUUUAUUUUUUAUUUUUUUGACAAGGAAGGUAAUUGAGGUGUUUAACGAGGGGAUGAUGUUUUCCUUUAAAAGAAUAAAUAAAUAAAAGACAAAUUUUUAUGCUAUGGGGACAAAAUGCCAAUUGAGAAGAAUUCUGUCCCACUAAAAUUGGGUUAAGUAUUUAAUUUGAAUUGGCAUCUAAAACAGUUGUAGGCUAACCAAUAUUUCUACGAAAAAAAAAAGUCAGAAUUAUUGCUAGCUUCUUGUCUUUAAUUUUCUAAACUCUGGGCAGUUGGUGUAGUAGUUUUUGCUGCUCUUCUCUUUGCGGCUAUAGAGGCUAUAGCCGAACGUGAACUAGGAAAGUGGAAACGUUGCACCUUAACAUACGUCGUCAACUACGACUACAAAUCUAUUUCAUGGUCCCAAAAUAUCAAUCAGUGCCAUUGUAAUUAUCAAAACUAAAAAAUUAUGGUUUUAAUAAGUUACAGUUACUAUCCAUGCAAAAAUAUGCAAAACGUAGUAACAUAAUAGUGAGCCACUUAAUUUUUAUAUGGGUUGUAUGUUAUACAAAUUGUAAUUUAGCAAAACUCAAAAAUUAUACGAAAGAAAAAAUUUAUUAAUUUUCUUUUUAACUAAAUGAUUAGAAUACAUUUACUCAUAAUUACCAAAGCAAAAAUUAAGUCAUAAUUAAGGGCUUGUAAAACACUUAAUUUCAAACCACUAAUUUUGGGAGCUACAACAAUAAGAGGAGUUAAGCAACAAUUAAGUGCUUAUAAAUGAUAACUUUUAGUAUUCAAAAACUUACCACAAGCUCAAGCCCAUCUCAUAUGAAUAACGCUGUUGUGCGAUAGGGAUUACAAUUGUGUGACAAAUGACCCUUGAUAAAUUUAGACAACUAGUAGAAAUUAGAAUUUAAAUUCUUUAUUUUUAAGUUUUUCCAAUAUUUCAAUGUUAUUCUCACACAUUUAAUUAAAAUUAAAUAAAUCUUAAGAACAUAUAGAGACAUGUUUUUGUAAUAGGCCUAAAACGAAACUUUAGAAAAUACAUUUUUAUGUUAAUUUCUUUUAGGGUAAGUUUCGCCAUACCCUCUUAUUAAAUUGACACACUUCAAUUCACCCCCGAAAAGUGUGAAAACCUCAAUUACCCCCAAAAAAACUGCUGACUAAUGUUGACUGAUUGAAAUAGGAAAAUACCCCAACUUGUAAUGGGAAAUUUACGAAAAUAAUUAGUAGAUUAUAAAAGAUUACAUGUCUCUUCUUCUUUCUAUUUAAAUUCAACAAUAUUUAACUAUUAAUAAUAAAUUAAUUAUAGUUUUGAAACAUUCAUUUAUUUUAUUAAGCCAACAACUAAACUUUAGUGGUUUAAAAUACAUCAACUAAUUAAUAUAGGAAGGAAUGUUCUUUCAUCUUCCCUCACCAAUACCACUAGAACCUAAUUUUAAUGUCAUAAUUUCAUAUUUAAUUAUGCAACCUUUUAUUUAGUGUCUUUUGACUUCUUCAAACUAUAUAAAUAUUAAGUAUUUAAGAUUUAUUAUGUUUGAGUUUUUUUUAUUAUUUAACCAAUAUUCUCUUUAGAAAUGUUCUUGUGUUUUUAUUUUUUGACUUAUUUAAAUUUUUUGUAUUGUGUGCUUCAUGGAGUAUUCUUUUCUUCAUGAGUUAAACAAUGAUAAAGAUAUUUGGAUGAUAAGGGUUAGGCUUUGUAAAAUGUGGGAGUCUGUUAAUACCAAGAAGAAUGAAGAGUUGAUUAGUGUAAACAUAAUUUUUAUUGAUGAAAAGGUUGUGUACACUUAACUAUACACAUUAAUAUAUAUUUUUAAAGUUAAAAAAAUAAUUAACUUUCAUAAAUAACAUUAGUUUUAUAAGGCUACGUCAUCUUUAAAAAAAAUCAAUUCAUAUUUUUUAUCAAAUUUAUCAAGUGUAAAGUAAUAAAAAAAUAAUACUAAAUUUUUUUUUUAAAAUCGCACGAAGUGCGGUUCUAUUUCCUAGUAAGAUUAUAAUAGUAAAAGAAUUCAAUAAUUGCACUCUUAAUGUUACCAUUUAAAAAUUAUGAAAUAGGUAAUUUGGGAAACCCAUCUGGAGGGAUUUGCUUAACAUCCUUUAAAAUUUUUUCCCAGCUGGAAGUAAUUGCUGAACAUCCUUUUCAAUUCCCGAGUAUUAUCUAAUCAGCUUAUUUUGUCAUUUUUAGGUGUUUGCAAAGGCUUUUGGCAAGGAUACUGGGUUGGCUUACGUGUAGUGGACUGAUCAUGUUGACUUUGUUCGGUAGCACAUUUUAUUUUACGCGUGUCUAGUUGUAACCAUGUCUCUCACUGUAUACACCAGUGUGAGUGGGUCCACCUACUAUUUUAUGACAAUUUAUGUUAUACUGACAAUAUUAUUCGUGCUGAUCACAAGUUUGAAGUUUUGCUUCUCUCGAAGAACUGGCUCCUUUCAUUUAUUUAUUUAUUAAAAUUUACAUUUUUUUUCCGUUUCCUUGCAAGAAAGGUAAUUAGAUUAAAUUUAACGGGGCGAUGAUGUUUUCCAUUAAAUAAGUAAAACACAAUUUUAUGCCAGAGUAGAAAUGGCCAAUCAAAACAAGGGUUAUCCAUGUUCGUGCCAUGCCGUCGUGUGCUUAAUUUUUUUUUCUCGUACCUUGCCCAUAUGUGUUGUGUUGUGUCUAAAAAAAAGUUCAAUAAUUUUUUUUAGUUUUUUAAAAGCACGUACUAAGUAAUUGGUAUAUUUUUUUUAAGUUUAUGUUUUUUUUAGGUCUAUACCUUUAUUCAAAUUUAAUAGAAUUGAAAAUUUAAAACUCAAGUCUAUAUUUUAUAAUAAUAAACUAAUAAUAGUAAGAUAAUGUAAUAUUAAUUUUUAAGUUUGACAUUUUAACAUUAUUUUUUUUUAUACUUAACAACAACAACAAUAAUAAAUUUUUCUUAAGGGUUAACUUAAUUGUUAACUUAGACUUACAUAGAGUCAUAGAUCAUAAUUCACAAUAAUAUUAAUGGAUAUUUAUAAAAUCAUAAUAAUUAUAAUUUUAUUUAUUAAAAUCAUGAUAUCAAUUAUAUAUUUAAUAAAUUAUAAAUAUAAAUCAAUUAUAGUACUUUUUAAACUAAGAAUUAAAUGAAUUUAAAAAAUUCAUUUUCAAGUUAUUUGUAAAACUAUAAAAUUUUAAGUUUACUUUCAUUAAAAAAUAAAAUGUGCUUAUUGUGAACUUUUUUAUCGUGCUAUACUUAGUCCAUUUCUAAUCAUGUAGUGCUUUUAAUGCUCGUGUGCUUAAAAUUUUAAGUCUGGCCCAGUCCACGUGCGUACUGUGCCAUACCACAUACCCUACCAAAACGUGCUGGUAUUGUGCCGUACUGUACGAAUACAUGUCGUGCCAUGUGUCAUCUAGUCCAUUGGCCAUCUCUACGCCAGAGUGACAAUAUGCCACAUUGAGAAGAAUUGCGUGCCCCUAAAGCUGGAUUAAUAAUUUAAUUUGAAUUAAAUCUAUAACAGUUGUAGGCUAACCAAUAUUUCCACAGAAAAAAAGCAGUUCAAAAUUAUUGGUCACAUCUUGUCAUAAAUUUUUUAACUCUGCGCAGUUGGUGUAAUAGUUUCGGCUGCUAUUCUCUUCACUACUAGAGCCUAGAGAUGGAGUGAAGCAUAAUGGGAAUUAGGAAAAGAGAGCUGCUUCCUUACAAUUAGGCAGGCGCUAAGUUAUGGUUAACGUAACUUAGCGCCCACACACAGCAACAGUACCGCUGGUGGGGCCUGGUACUGUUGCUACGUAAGUUACAUUAAACGUAACUUAGGCCCUCCCUUACAAUUAACGUAAUGUUCUAGGUUAACAUAUCUAAUCAACUACGACUACAAUUCUAUUUCAUGGUCCCAACACAUCAUAUCAAUCAAUGUCAUUAUCGUUAUCAAAGCUAAAAAAUCACAGGAAAGAAAAAAGUUUUUGUUUUAGCUGAAUGAUUAGAUAUUGCAUUUACUCGUAAUUAGGGGUGUUCAGAAUCCAAUUCAAUCUACUCAAUCCAUUUGAUCCGUAGAAAUUCGAUAUGUAAAAAUUCGAUAUGCGGAUUGGUGGAUUGGAUUGAAAAUUUAAUAAUCCACAAUCAGUGGAUUAGAUAUGAAUCUACUUAUGUAAUUCUGUAAAAAUCUGUAAAUCCGCAAAAAAAUAAAAAAUUUUAUUUAAUUAAAAAAUAAAACUUGUAAAUAUGACAUUAGUACUUACUAGUAAAUAAAUACAUUAAAAUAUAGUUACAUUAACACUAUAUUAUAUCUUAUCUGAUAAUAAUAUAAAAUAAACAAAUUAAAUAAACAAAUAUAGCUUCCUAAAUAGUUAAUUUCCAUAUAUUGAUCUAAACAAAUGAGAUUUUAUUUUCUUUUUGAUGUGUUAUAGUUUGAAACUUUCUAGUUUUAUUUAAACAAUUAAUUUAUUUAAAUCUUAUUUAAUUUUAAAUUUGAUCGGUAGUAAAAUUAUUUUUAUAUUAAAUUUUUUUAUUUAGUUAGUUCGUGUAUUAGACAGAAUUAAAAAUUUUCAGUCUGUAAACUAAUUAGCAAAAUGGUGGAUUGGAUAUGAAUUGAGUCAAAUUCAUAUCUGAUCCGUAGACGUAUGUAUUGGAUUUAAAUUGAAUUUUAUCAAUCCGUGAAUUAGAUUAAAUUGAAAAUUUAUAAUCUAAAAAAUCGUAGAUCGGAUAUAGAUUGAUGUCCAAUCUAUACAAUUCGAUCCGCGAACACCCCUACUCGUAAUUAAGAAAGCAGAAAUUAAGCAAUAAUUAAGGGUUUAUAAAACAUUUAAUUUCAUACCACUAAAUAUGAGAGUUAUAACAGCGAGAGAAGUUAGGUAAUAAUUAAGCGCUUAUAACUGACAACUUUUACUCUAGGUAAAAGACUUAUGUGUUCUAUAACUAACCACAAACUCAUCACAUAUGAAUAACACUACGUGUUUACUGUGCCGUACCGCAUAUCUUACCAAAACGUACUCAUAUGGUGUCGUACUAUACCGAUACAUGCCGUGGCAUGUGUCAUCCACUCCAUUGGCCAUCUCUGCCCCAAAGUGACAAUAUGCCGCACAAGAAUUGCGUGCCCCUAAAGCUGGAUUAAUAAUUUAAUUUGAAUUGACGUCUAUAACAGUUGUAGGCUUAACCAAUAUUUCUACAGAAAAAAUUGGUUCAGAAUUACUGGUCGCGUCUUGUCAUAAAUUUUUUAACUCUGCGCAGGCGGUGUAAUAGUUUCGGCUGCUAUUCCUUUACCGCUAGAGCCUAGAGAUGGAGUGAAGCAGAAUGGGAAUUAGGAAAAUGGUAAUGUUCUACGUUAACAUACCUAGUCAACUACGACUACAAUUCUAUUUCAUGGUCCCAACACAUCAUAUCAAUCAAUGAACAUCAUAUCAAUCAAUGCUAUUAUGGUUAUCAAAGCUAAAAAUUCACGGGAAAGAAAAAAAAAAAUUUUUUUUUUAGCUGGAUGAUUAGAUUACAUUUUCUCGUAAUUAAGAAAGCAUAAAUUAAGUAAUAAUUAAGGGUUUAUUAAACACUUAAUUUCAUACCACUAAAUAUGAGAGUUAUAACAGUGAGAGAAGUUAGGUAAUAAUUAAGAGCUUAUAACUGAAAACUUUUACUAUAGGUAAAAGACUUAUGUGUUCUAUAAGACUAUAACUAACCACAAACUCAUCACAUAUGAAUAACACUAUUGUGCAAUAGACAUUACAAUUGUGUGACAAAUGACCAUGAAUAACACUAUUAUGCGAUAGGGAUUAUAAUUGCGUGAUAAAUGAUUCUUGAUAAAUUUAAACAACUAAUAGAUAUUAAAAUUUAAAAUUUUUAUUUUUAAGUUUUUCCAAUAUCUCAAUGUUAUUCUCACACAUUUAAUUAAAACUAAAUAAAUUUUAAGAACGUAGAAGAACAUAUCUCACUUACGAGUUUAGAUAGGCCUAAAACCAAACUUUAGAAAACACAUUUUUAUGUUAAUUUCUUUCAUAAAUUUUGCGUUUGACAAGAUAAAAAUAUAUAACAGAUAACCAAACCAAAACUUUUCACGAAAUAAAUAAUUAAUUAGUUAAUCCAAAAGUACUUUGGUUAAUGUGUAGAAUGGGUUGAAUAAAGUAAUUUUAUUUUUGAACAAAAUUUAGUCCAUUCUAAUUUCACUCCUCAAUGGAAGUUCUUUCCACCUUUCGGCUAAUGGACUCUCGCAAUUUAGCGUUAUUAUUAUUAUUACUAUUAUUAUUGGUUAUAAUUUUAAAAUUUAUUGGGAAUUUUGCGGAAGAGUAUGGCGAUUUGAACCCAAAAUUUUGCUUUCUACACCCAUUUUCUCAACACACCCACAACAUAAAUUUGAAAAAUAAAAUUAUACUCUAUGAAUCCUUCAAAAAUCCAAAAAUAACCCUAUAUUAUCUUCACUUUUUUCUUCCCUCCCCCUUCUUAUACAGUAUUGAAUGGUGACAGCAACUUUGAUUCACCUUGCUAAUAUUAAAAACUAUCCUAAUUGACAAAUCCAUGAAGAAAUAAACUUUGAUGACGUGCACCAAUAAAUUGAAAAUUUUGAGCCAACAACAAAAUACUGAAUAUAUUACGGAUGGGUUUACAUUGAAAUUGUCCAUUUCUUUUUCAUCCAUUGCCUUUCACGAAAAUCUUUAUAAUUUCAUAUUAUAACUGCAAGAUGCAAAAAAUUCUUCAUGUUUUUUCAUCUAUCGCCAUAAUUGCCAUAGAGUUCAUUAGCUUAAUUAACUAUUAGUUAUACAUAUCAAGGAGUCUAUUUUUCCUUUAAGUCUUGAAUCAUCAAAUUCAAAUAUUUCUAUUGUUCGAUUUUUCUAUCUGAUUGUGUAUUUUCAUGAGAUGCAGAAAAUUAUUUUUAGCUUAUGCAGAAUUUUCAUUUUCUCAGCAACUAAGUUUUUUUUUUUUUUUUUGGUCUGUCCUUAAUGGUAAUUGUCAUAAAGGGUAAUUUGACAAUAAAAGUUUUUGUGAAAUUAUGGGUGUAAAGAGUUGUUUUGUGGGUUUAAAUAGUCCCACCCUUUGCGGAAUUAUAUAUUAAACAUCUAAAUUAAUAGUAUGUAUGAAAUAAAUGGCAUCCAACACAAAUAUAAAUACAUUUGCAGUUGUGACUGUUGAGCCAACUUGAUUUGCAAUGCUUUUAGGGAUAUUGUGCCCUGAAAAUUAAUCAAAACUACUUGUGAAAAGGCGAUUUGAACUCAAAAUUUUGCUUUCUACACCCAUUUUCUCAACACACCCACAACAUAAAUUUGAAAAAUAAAAUUAUACUCUAUGAAUCCUUCAAAAAUCCAAAAAUAACCCUAUAUUAUCUUCGUUCACUUUUUUCUUCCCUCUCCCUUCUUAUACAGUAUUGAAUGGUGACAACAACUUUGAUUCACCUUGCUAAUAUUAAAAACUAUCCUAAUUGACAAAUCCAUGAAGAAAUAAACUUUGAUGAUGUGCACCAAUAAAUUGAAAAUUUUGAGCCAACAACAAACUACUGAAUAUAUUACGGAUGGGUUUACAUUGAAAUUGUCCAUUUCUUUUUCAUCCAUUGCCUUUCACGAAAAUCUUUAUAAUUUCAUAUUAUAACUGCAAGAUGCAAAAAAUUCUUCAUGUUUUUUCAUCUAUCGCCAUAAUUGCCAUAGAGUUCAUUAGCUUAAUUAACUAUUAGUUAUACAUAUCAAGGAGUCUAUUUUUCCUUUAAGUCUUGAAUCAUCAAAUUCAAAUAUUUCUAUUGUUCGAUUUUUCUAUCUGAUUGUGUAUUUUCAUGAGAUGCAGAAAAUUAUUUUUAGCUUAUGCAGAAUUUUCAUUUUCUCAGUAACUAAGUUUUUUUUUUUUUUUGGUCUGUCCUUAAUGGUAAUUGUCAUAAAGGGUAAUUUGACAAUACAAGUUAUUGUGAAAUUAUAGGUGUAAAGAGUUGUUUUGUGGGUUUAAAUAGUCCCACCCUUUGCGGAAUUAUUUAUUAAACAUCUAAAUUAAUAGUAUGUAUGAAAUAAAUGGCAUCCCACACAAAUAUAAAUAAUAAUUUUACUUGAAUUAAACACCCAAAUCCUAUAUUAUAAUAUUAUGCGUAAGAAAAUUUACACAUACUAUCAUUUUAUUAAAAUUUGGACUAGCUGAAGAAUAUUAUUCAUUCAGAUUUAUCAACCAUAAGUCACUUUGUUAAACCAUGAUUAUUGUAGAAUGAAAAAUCAUUCUUGUCAAGUAUAAAUGGACGAACUGUUUAUUGUCAACCUUUAUAUAGUUGUAUAAAUAAUUAAUCUUUGUAUAACUUAAAAUUAUUGUUUAUUCUAUCAGUCUUAAUGAAUUGGAAGUAGAUGAUUUUAAUUUGCAAAUGGUUUGGCUUCCAUCUUUGUAACUAUUUUAUUAUUUAAAAAAAAAAAGCUCACUAAACAAAUAAAGUUGACCAAAGUAUUCUCUAAAUGCCGACUGCUUUAGUUAACAAAGCUCAAAAACUUUUAAGAAGAAUUGGGCCUGAAGUAAAUCCUUGAUUAUAGGCAAACUGUUAACCUUCAAAAACCAUUUAAAUUGCCUUUCUUAACCCAAAAGUAUCCUAAUCCAAUGUUUGCCAAAUGAUCUCGAACCAAGUCAAAUUAUCCAACUCAUAACUAAAUAGAGGAGAGAAUAUUUUAACGAGGUCAAAUAGUUUCACUUUAUUAAUAAUUUAGUAGAAACCUAAUGAAAGUGAGGGUAUUGGAGUCUCUGCUUUCUUUGUAUUUGAGAGUAUUUUUAUUUAUUUAUUUAUUGUUUUAGAUUUCUGUGCUGUAUUUAUCUUUUUUUUUUCAAAAAAAAAAAUCCUCUAAAACAUUUUACAAAUUCCAUGCGAAUUAUGGAAGAACUUCGGCAUUCUUUAUUUUCUAUAUAUGCGGAUACAAGUAACAUGGAGAGAGGUUCACAAGAAACCUCUUUGAUUAUUAUUAUUAUUAUUACUUAGCUCCGAACUUUGCAUGAAGAGCCUUCACUACAUAUGGAUAUGGAUCAAGUUGGAAUGCCCUGGCAAGAGAAAAAAGGAUCAGUUAGUGGAUCGGAUCUAAAGACUGCAUUGGAAUAAUUUUCAAAGUAAAUGAUGUAUUAUUAUAAAGACAUGUCUAAUUAAUUAUGCUUUAUAGAAGAGCUAGCUUUCCACCUAAGGACACAUCCAUUAAUGGUGGCACUUCAUUUGGAAUGGUGAUGGUUUAAUUUGAACUGUUGAUUAAGAUCAAAUCUUGAUCCAAUGGCCAUAAAUAAAAUGUUAUCAUGAAAGGUGACUACCUAAAUGGAAGGGCACAAGUACAUCUAUAAAUAUAGGCCAUGUUUAGGUCAUUUAAACAUGAAAUUAAUGAUCAUAUACCAAUCUUUUCUUAGCCCUCUUUCCUAAAACGAAUUUUAUCAUAUAACAUCUAUUUUUACGCAUCAAAUGUUUAAUAUAUUGUUUACUGCAGGAACAUUAUAUUGAUUCUUGAUAGUCUUGCAACAUUCAAAAGUUUUCAGAUUUGCUUUUGUCAAUGCACAAUGCAAACAAACAAAUAACGCUUCAUUAUAUCCUAGACGCGUGUUUGCUUAAUCCAUGUAUAUCACUCACUCAAUUGGUGGGGCAAAUAACAUCUUAAGAAAAACAACAUUUAUAAUGUGCAUUGAAGUACACAUUUUUUUUUCUGCAAUUUUACAUGUUACUAUUAUUUUCUUUGCACCUAUAAAGUUGUACACACAUUACUUUAUUAUAAUAAAAUCUACCAUUAUUACUGCAAUUCUCUACAUUUGCCAUUUCGCACAAAUAUAUACUGCAACAAUCUUAAGACGCCAUUUGUUCAGCAAUGGCACCAAGUUUAUCUCUUCGACAAUUUGCAAUUCAUUUUGUCAAAUAAGAGCGAUUCGACGGUGGCAACUUUGCACAUCAGUAGAAAAAUUUGCAUUUCUUGUUGACAAGCCUUAAUGUGGUUUAUGUUCUCACAAUACCAUAGCCUCAAGAAUGUGAGGAUGAGAUAUUAGCAGAAGCUAGAGCACAAUAGAAGUAGGAGCAAGAUGACUACAUUUGCAAGGGAGAAAUUUGCAACGCCAUAUCUGAUAUUGUAUCACAACAAACCCACAAUAAAAGAAAUAUGCGACUUAUUGGAGAUUAAGUACAUGAUGGAAGAUGCCACAAGUAUGAAAUCCUUGGCUUCUAAAUUUUUUAAUUAUAAAAUGGUUGAUAAUGGACUUGUGGUUGAAUAAUAUAUUGAGAUUUUGCAUAUUCUUUAUCAAUUCAACCAAGACAACAUGAAGAUGGACGAGCCUUUUAUUGUUUCUUCAAUUAUUGAUAAACUCCCUCCCUAUUAGUAAGACAUAGGAAAAGUCUUAAACAUAACAAAGAGAAAAUUAGCCUGAAAGGUUUAAGCUAAAGUUUUUGUAUUGAAAAUGAACUCAAACUAUAUAAUCUUGAGGAAUAAGCUGCUACGUCCUCUAAAAUUAAUGUUGUGGAGGAGGGGAAGAAGCUUAAGCAUUCUAAUUACCCUAAGAAUAACCAAAAGAGAAAGUUUGAUUCGAAAGAGAAUCAAAAUAAUAAGAAGAAAAAAAAAGGUACAUGUCACUACUGUAAAAAGCUUGGCCACUUCAAAAAAUAUUAUCAACUUCUUAAGAAACAAAAAGAAGUUUCGAACACAAUUUUGCGGCCAUGAUAUUGAGAUUCAUGUUCUUGAAGAUGAUAAUGCAUGGUGGAUAGAUUCUAAUGCAACCAAGCAUGUGUGCAAAGAUCAUAGCCUUUUCACAUCUUACAAAGUAAUGGAUGAUAGGAAUGUUCUUUACGUGGGAAAUUCCUUCAUGCAGCAAUUAAAAGAAAAGGCAACGUACAACUAGAGUAUAUUUAUGGAAAAAUCUUAACUCUUACUGAUGUUUAUCAUAUACCUAAAGUUAAGAAGAAUCUUGCAUUUGGUUGCCUCAAUAAAUUUGGCUUCAAACCUGUAUUUGAGUAAAAAAUAAUUUAUAUUGUCUAAGGAUGCAUGUAUGAGGGAAAGUUUAAACUCAUUAAUAAAAUGAAUGUUUCUUCUACUUACAUGAUUGACUCAUUAUUUUUGUGGCAUAAUUGUUUAGGACAUGGGAAUAUUAGAAGAUUGCAUGAUAUAGCUAAUUUAGAAUUAAUUCCUAAACAUGAAAAUGAUAUGCAUGAAAAAUGUAAAGUGUGUGCGUAGACUAAAAUCACAAGAACUCCUUUUCCAACAAUUGAAAAAAUAUAUUCUUUGAUGCAUUUAAUUCAUAGUGAUAUAUGUGACAUGCAUAGUAAUCCUACUAAAGGUGAUAAAAAAUAUUUUGUAAUGUUUAUUGAUGAUUUUUCAAAAAUAUUGCUAUGUAUAUUUAUUACCUUCUAAAGAUCAAGUGUUAGCCAAAUCCAAAAUUUAUAAAAAUCAAGUUGAGAAUUUUUAUGACAUUAAAAUUAAAUGCAUCAGAAGUGAUAAAGGAAAUGAAUAUGCAUUUUCUGAAUUUUGUGAAUCUAUUGGCAUUGUGCAUGAAACUAGUAUUGGAUAUACACGACAACAAAAUGACAUAUCUAAAAGGAAGAAUAGGACGCUAAUAGAAAUGGUUAAUGUUAUGAUUUUUAAUGUUGGGCUUGGUAAAGAUUUUUGCGAUGAAGCUCUUUUAACUAAAUGUCAUAUCUUGAAUGGUGUGCCUAAUAAGAAAACAAAAGCGAUCCCUUAUGAAUUAUGAAAAAAUAGAAAGCCUAAUCUUUCACUACUACAAAAUUAGUCAAUAAUGACGGUUCUAAACGACAUAAAAUGACGGUUUUAAAACCGUCAUCUUAGGCAGCGACAUUAAAAGGAGUAUACUUUUUAUGACAGUUCAAUAACCGUCAUUAAAUGUAUAUUUUUAAUGACGGUUAUUUUCUAAAACAGUCAUUAUUUAUAGUAACUAUGUAUGUUUUCAUGAUGGUUAUUUCGUAUAACCGUCAUUAAAUAUAUACAUUUAAUGACGGUUAUAUGAAAUAACCAUUAUUAAAUAUACUUUUUCAUUAAUUUUUUAUGACGGUUCUUUUAAAAAAAAAACCAUCAUUAAAUCCAUCAUUUUAAUGACAGUUUAUUGUAAAAACAUCAUUAAAUAUUAAAAUAACAUUUAAUGACGGUUUAAAAAAAGAACUGUCAUCUUUGUUGUUAAAGACUACAUUUAACGACGGUUCUUUUCAAAUAACCGUUAUCAUUGUUGUUAAUUAUUAAAAAAAAAAUAUGACAAUUUCAGAACCAUUUGAAGCCCAUAUUUUAAUUCUAAUUUCCUGUUAAAUUAUUUACAAUUUUUUUCCACAAAUGUUUCAUAUACAAAAAGAUAGCUCUACAAAAAUCUCUAAUAGUCAUUGAAUUUCAACAAAAUAUCAAUUAGCUUUAACAUCAAAAUUCUCACAACUCUUUAAUACCUACUAAUGAAUCUACUCACAACCAACAAAAUUGGCAUGUGUGAGUACAUCUAAUUUCUCAUCAAGUUUUCAAUUGCAAACGAAUCUCACCACCUUUAGCAAUCUACAUCAUUCUUACAAAGAAUAAAUCAAAAUUAAGAUAAAUUCAUAGAUUAUAAGUCAUAAUAAUUAAAUCAUUUUUAGUGACUUAAGUUGCAAACAAAACUUUAAAGUACCAAAUCAUUAUUAAUUAAUAGACUUACAUUAAAUUUAUCAACCAUGUGUUUAUGUAGUAACAAGUUGCUAUGUAUACAUGUAGGCCACUCGCAUUUAACUUUAUCAAUUUCUCCUUGAGUGUAAAUUUCAAUUCUGUACAAAUAAAAAUUAAGAAGUAUAUUACUCUAGUUCCAAACUACAAAAAUAAGUAUUUGAUAAUAAACGACAAUACAUUUUCCAAAAUAGAGAAAAUCACAAAGCUUUUAAGCUUCUAAAUCACAAAUUAUAGGUAAAGCAAUUUAGAAUUGAAAUAUACUAUAGCAAUGAUGACUUACAUCCGCUAUUUGCAUAGACUAUCACUCAAAUCUAGUGAUUCGAUAUUCUCAAUUGAUGAAAAUAUGAACAUGUCUAAAACAAAUCUUGCAUGCUAACACAAUAAUAAAUAUUGAAAAAAGAAUUUGUACCUUUGCCCCUGGUCAAUUUGAGGUACCAAGCUCGGCCUGUUAAAUUCAUUACAAUUUUUUUCCACAAAUGUUUCAUAUACAAAAAGAGAGCUCUACAAAAAUCUCUAAUAGUCAUUGAACUUCAACAAAAUUUCAAUUAGCUUUAACAUCAAAAUUCGCACAACUCUUUAAUACCUACUAAUUAAUCUACUCACAACCAACAAAAUUGGCAUGUGUGAGUACAUCUAAUUUCUCAUCAAGUUUUCAAUUGCAAACGAAUCUCACCACCUUUAGCAAUCUACAUCAUUCUUACAAAGAAUAAAUAAAAAUUAAGAUAAAUUCAUAGAUUAUAAGUCAUAAUAAUAAAAUCAUUUUUAGUGACUUAAGUUGUAAACAAAACUUUAAAGUACCAAAUCAUUCUUAAUUAAUAGACUUACAUCAAAUUUAUCAACCAUGUGUUUAUGUAGUAACAAGUUGCUAUGUUAUCCAUGUAGGUCGCUCGCAUUUAACUUUAUCAAUCUCUCCUUGAGUGUAAAUUUCAGUUCUGUAAAAAUAAAAAUUAAGAAGCAUAUUACUCUAGUUCCAAACUACAAAAAUAAGUAUUUGAUAAUAAACGACAAUACAUUUUCCAAAAUAGAGACAAUCACAAAGCUUUUAAGCUUCUAAAUCACAAAUUAUAGGUAGAGCAAUUUAGAAUUAAAAUAUACUAUAGCGAUGAUGACUUACAUCCGCUAUUUGCAUAGACUAUCACUCAAAUCUAGUGAUUCGAUAUUCUCAAUUGAUGAAAAUAUGAACAUGUCUAAAACAAAUCUUGCAUGCUAACACAAUAAUAAAUAUUGAAAAAAGAAUUUGUACCUUUGCCCCUGGUCAAUUUGAUAAUGAUCUCAAAAAUUUUGAUGGCCAUGAGAAAAUUAACUAACGACCAACGCUUUAUUAUUGAUGUUGUCGGAGGAUUACCAAAUUGAGAAGGAAAUGCUAAAUUCUUGAAUGGCGUUGAGAACUUAAAAAUCUGAAAUGGAACAUUUAAAAUAGAAAGUAAAUAUAAUUAUCAAUACUCAAAGAUAGUCCACGCUUUAUUGCUUAAAAACUUGAGUGGAAAAACCCAGCAAAAAAGAAAAGCAAAAACAGUGCAAUUUCACUGGUAUUUUUGCUGCUGUCAUGCAGUAAAAACAUAGUAGUCUUACUGCAAAGUUUUUGCAGCUGUUUUGACUGUAUAACAGCGGGCAAAAACAGCAAAAGAAACUACAAUUUGGCUGCUGUUUUUACUGUUGUCAUGCAGUAAAAUAGAGCAGUCUUGCUGCAAAGAUUUUGCAGCUGUUUUGACUGUACAACAACAGCAAAAAGAACUAUAAUUUGGCUGCUGUUUUUACCGCUGUCAUGCGGUAAAGCAGAGCUGCUGUUUUGACUGUAUAACAGCAGGUAAAACAGAAAAAAAAACUGUAAUUUGGCUGCAGUAAAAACAACAGAAAAACUAUAAUUUGGCUGCUGUUUUUACUGUUAUCAUGCAGCGAAAAUACAGCAGUCUCACUGCAAAAAUUUUACUGCUGUUCUUACUGUAUAAAAAUAGCAAUACAUCACCUUAAAUAAGAGAAAAAAAUUCUUUCAGCUACUACACAUUUAAUUUAAUUUAACUUAAAUCCUUCAUAUUGUAGACUGAGAGAUUGAUUCUAUAGAAUAAAGAGAAAUUAAGAUAAUUCAUAUAUUAUAAGCCAGUAUCUUCACCAUGACUGGCAACUUCCACAAGCAAUUGCUCUUUUCCAUGAGGACUCAUCAGAACUGAAUAAGCAAACAACACCAUUAUAAAAGAAUGAAUAUAUGUCUGAUAUGAAAUGAGCAAAACCUAGGUUAUGAGCAGCACAUAAAUGCAAAAAGAAAAAGGGAAUGUCUUUCUCUGUAAAUACAUGUAGAUAGAUGUUUGCAGAUGCAUGCAAGGGAAAAAAGAAUGUCUUUCUACAUUCUCAAGGCUCCAAUUGAAGCACUAACAGGUACAUUUAUGCAAAAAUAUAAGAAGAAAAAUAAUGUAUGAUACCUGUAGUCCCUGAGGAGUAAGCAAAUGUAUUUCGAUACGUGUACAUUUCCUGAAAGAAGAUUGAACUAUAAAUAGACUGCCAAUGGAUCAAAAUGCACUUUCAACACAAAAUCCAAUUAAAUUUGAAGAUGGCGCAAAACAAUUAGUUGAAAAUUGUACUCGUGACACCGGAAUGAAUCGCAUAACAAUUCUUUCACAGAGCUUUCAGCAACCAUAUAGCUCAAAAAUCAGAUAGCAGCAUACACUAAAUGGGAACAAUUUUUUUUAUCAAUUACAUUAGUAUAAGUCCAAUGCAGGGAAAAAAAUGCACUUUCAAAAUGAAUUACAACUUAAUAACAACAACAAUCAACUAAAAUGUAAGCAAGAAUCAUAGACAAACAAUUUAUAAACCAAAUGAGAUGAAAAUUUCUUUAUUAAAUUAAUAGAAGGUCAGUUGACAGGAAAUAAAGAGAACAAACAAUAAUUGGAUGAAUCAAAACCCCAGAGCAAGAAAAUACAAUAAGAAGGAAGCAUCUGAAACAAGAAAAUGAAAUCAACAGCUCACUGUCUCCCGCGGCCGGCGCGAUGGCUACGGUUGAACGAGCUACAAUGACAACUGCUGUCGAUGAGGUAGCUGAAUCACGAUCAUUGCCGCGAACUAGCUAGGACUCUGAAUCACGACCACGAUCUGCCCUACGAGCUAAUAAAAAAAAUUGAAUCGAUUGGCAGCAGUGGAUGGUGCGUGACUGAUGGGCUGACGAUAGUGAAAUUGACAGAGUGAGACGAUGAGACUGGAGAGGGAGAUGGUGAGACCGUGAGAAAGAGAGAGAGAGACCAACGAUGCAGAGAGUGAAAGUGAGCAUGAAAGAGAGAGAGACCGGAGAUGGAGAGAAUGAGAGUGAGCGUAAGAGACAGAGAGACCGAAGAUGGAGAGGAGAGUGAGCGGGUGAGAGAGGGGGGCGUGGCUGCUGCUGUGCUUGUAGAAUUAGACAGGGGGAUUGCCACUUUCCCCCUACAUAAAUUAACAUAUAUUAUUUAUCCUUCUAUUAUUUUUAUAAUGACUAAAAAUUCUUAUGAUAGGAUAAGUUUACAAUAUUAUUUUUAUUUUUAAUUAUUCUUUUAUUUAUAUUUAUUAUAAAUUAAAUAGAUUACAUGAAUAGAAACUAAAUAAAAAAUUAAGUAUUAAAAACAAGAAAUAUAUGUUUUGAUAUGAGCAAAAAAAUUAAUAAUAACUUUUUUUUAUAAUUAUUUAUUUUGUGAACAUUUUCUUAUAAUAAAUAUUCUGCUAUAUUUUAAAAUUAAAUGUAAAAAGUAUAGGUAAAAUAUUUUAUUAUUUAUCUUAUAAUAAAUUUUUAUUUGUCANNNNNNNNNNNNNNNNNNNNNNNNNNNNNNNNNNNNNNNNNNNNNNNNNNNNNNNNNNNNNNNNNNNNNNNNNNNNNNNNNNNNNNNNNNNNNNNNNNNNNNNNNNNNNNNNNNCCGUACAGCAGUUUCCUAUAAUAAUUUUUUUAUCAUUUUAUAAUAAUUUUCUUAUAUAUUUAUUAUAAGAAACUUUUCACAAAAUAAAUAAGUACAAGAAAAAAAUUUUAUUAUUAAUUUUUUUCUCAUAUCAAAACAUAUAUUUCUUUUUUUAAUGCUUAAUUUUUUAUUUAGUUUCUAUUAAUAUGAUUUAUUUAAUUUAUAAUAAAUAUAAAUAAAAGAGUAGUUGAAAAUAAGGGUAAUAUUGUAAACUUAUAUUGUCAUGGAGGUUUUUGGCCAUUAUAAAAACAACAUUGGUGAAAAUGGUAUAUGUUCAUUACUGUAGGGGGGAAAUUGGCAAUCUCCCAAUUAGAAAUUAGGUCACGAUUUUUUUUUAGCCGAUUAAGAUUUUUUUUAUAAAUGUUUUACAUAUAAUGACAGUUACAUCCAAAACCGUCAUUGUUAUUUUUUACUUAAAUGACGGUUCUUUACAACCGUCAUUAAUACUUUAAUAAGACAUAUAAUGGCAGAUUUUUAUAUAUAGUCGUAGUUAAAAAUCAGGUUAUAUUUUAUUUUGAUGUUUAAUGACAGUUAUAUAAUAGAACCGUUAUUAUAAAUAUUAUAUUUUUAAUGACAGUUUUUACACAAAAUCGUCAUUAAAAGUAACUAAAAGUAAAACUAUAUUUUAACUUGACACUUAAUGAUUGUUAUAUAAUUUAACCGUCGUUGUAAAUAUUACACAUUAAUGACUAUUUUUAUACAGAACUGUCAUUAAAAGUAAUUUUACCUAGACAUUUAAUAAUUGUUAUAUAAUAAAAUGGUCAUUGUAAAUAUUAGAUAUUAUGACGAUUCAUAUAAUAACGGUUAUCAAAUACUUUUAAUGACGGUUGUAAAGAAAAACCGUCAUAAUAUAUGAGUCAUUGUUUUGCAUUUUUGUAGUCGUGUUUUUACCCAAGGGUUUGGGGUUAAUUCACUAUAAGAAAACAAGUAAUAGAUGACAGACAGUUUGUGACAGAUUCGUAAAAAAAUUAUUUAUAUUAUAAAAAUAUGAUAGACUCGUGAUAUAAUUUCAGUUCUGGAUUAAUGAUGAUUUUAUGAUAAAAUUAUUGUCUAUCAAGAAUUCAUUUAUACAAAUUUAUUCCAUCAAGAAAUUAUGGUAAUUUCAAUAUAAUUUGUGCUGCUACUUAAUUAUUCAUUUUUUUCCCACUUUGUGUCUGUAUGUGUGUGUGUUCUUGUAGUGUUUGUGAACGGGAAGUUCUGCAAGGACCCCAAGCUUGCGAGAGCUGAAGAUUUCUUCUUCUCAGGGCUAGACAAGCCUGGCAACACAGCAAAUUGACUUGGUGUUGAUGAAACAGAUGCAAAUGUUUAGCAGAUUCCAGGACUCAACACCCUUGGCAUAUCAGCAUUCCGCAUUGACUAUGCGCCAUACGGCCAAAGGCCACCUCACAUUCACCCCCGUGCCAGUGAAAUCCUGCUGGUCCUGGAAGGAACUCUUCAUGUCGGUUUUGUGACAUCAGACCAGCUAAAUAACAAACUCAUCGCACAAGUUCCAAAGACCGUGUCGGCUAUGGUAAUUUCACCGGGGAACUGGCUGUUUAGAGCAGAAUAGGCAACUGCUUUUGUUUUUCCAAUGUUAAAUUGGAAGUAAAUCAAACCUUUUGGAAACACAAAAACAUCUCCCUUAUUCAGAACUUUUGCGAUGAGUUUGUUAUUUAGCUGGUCUGAUGUCACAAAACCGACAUGAAGAGUUCCUUCCAGGACCAGCAGGAUUUCACUGGCAUGGGGGUGAACGUGAGGUGGCCUUUGGCCGUAUGGCGCAUAGUCAAUGCGGAAUGCUGAUAUGCCAAGGGUGUUGAGUCCUGGAAUCUGCUCAACAUUUGCAUCUGUUUCAUCAACACCAAGUCGAUUUGCUGUGUUGCCAGGCUUGUCUAGCCCUGAGAAGAAGAAAUCUUCAGCUCUCGCAAGCUUGGGGUCCUUGCAGAACUUCCCGUUCACAAACACUACAAGAACACACACACAUACAGACACAAAGUGGGAAAAAAAUGAAUAAUUAAGUAGCAGCACAAAUUAUAUUGAAAAUUAUAUGUUUCAUCAGUUCAGCUUAUGUACCACCAUCCUUGGGGUCAUUGAUGGCUACAAAGAUAUCUUGAAGCGGGCUGGGGUCAGAGGCUGAGGCCAAAGAAGAAGCCAAAGCUAAGAGAGCAAAACCUAUAAGAAAUUGAAUUGCCUUCAUGGUGAUUAAUUAACAGGAUGUACCUAUCUCAAAACUUUAAUCAAGUGUUGUGAUUUGAGAAUCUUGGGAGGGAAACUAGACUAUUUAUAGAACGGAGUCCAUGAACGAGUUUGUGUGUUCAAUUAAUAGUCCUCGAAGCAGGUCAAGACUUGCUGAGUCCUCAGUGCUUAUCUUUGUAAUGUUUUGCGGUCCUCAUUUUCGUUUUUCUUUUUAAAAUUUACGUGUAGAACUUGUUCGGUGGUACACAUCUUAAAUAUAAAUAGCAAACAUACGAAACAAAGUCUGGCUGAUAGUGAUAAAAUCCAAAACAGGUUAGACACGUUUGCGCCAAUCUUCAAAACGAACCGUAAAAUAUAAUAAGAAACAAUAUUUUACGCAUUUUCCAAAGCAUAAUUAAAAUAUAAUUUUUUUCAUUGGAAAGAAACGAAUUGAAGAAUUUAUGAAAAUGGGUGAGAAAGAAAUUCAUGUCUCUGGCAAGCAGACUAGCAGUUGGACGUCGUGUUCUGUAGAUAUCGAUGUUACCGGACUUGUUUGGUUUGUUGUUGGGCUUAAUGAAGAAGCAUUAUUAGCCUUUUUUCCUUUUUCAUAGCAAUUUUCGUAGCUGCUUUAACCAUUUUUAGUUCUAUAAAUGCUUUACGAAGUCAAUGAUGCACAUGUUUUUUUCAUUACGUGUUAAAGUCACAGAUCAUCUGCUUCAAAACGUUAAGACUAGGAUCAGGAGGAACCAAAUUCUUCCAUCUUAUUUUCAGCGGUCACGUUAAUUAGAGCCUGGAGUCGGCACGUUUCGUUAGUGAUAUCCUUUUACAAUGUCAAUUGAUAUAUAUCAUUUCAACUUUAAAAGCUAAUUUUAAUAUUGAAUAAUUUUUUUUAAAAAUCCCUUUUAGUAAAAUCAUGUAGAUUUUGAAAAGUAAAAAAAGAGUAGUUUUUUAAAAUUUUAUUUUGAUAAACACUUUUAUACUUAAUACAAUUUCAUAUAUAUCCUUAUAUAUAAGAGAAAAAUCCAAAAUCAUCCUUAUUAAUUAAAAAUAAAAUUAUUAAUUUGAAAGAGAUUAUUAUUAUUAUUACCAACUAUAUUGAGAUAACAAAAUAAAAAUAAAAUUAAUAAUAUAAAACAUUUAUUUUAGUUAUCAAUUAUUAUAUAGACACAACUAAAAAUAUUUUAUUUAUAUGUUUAUAAAUGUGUAAAUAAAUUUUAUUCAACAAAUUUUCUCUUCAAUCAUUUACAUUCUUACAUCAUUUUAAUAGUAAGAUUUACCAAAUAAAUACGACUACUUUUAGAACUCACAACAUUGUAGCAAAUGGCUAACCAAUUGUUGAAAACGACAAACUAAUAAUUUCCAGAAAGCAUGUUCUACAAAGGGUUGUUAAAAUGAUGAUUCUGAAAAAUAACGAUGAAUCGUUUACUGAAAACGGUGAUUCGAUAAUUUUUAGAUUGUAACUGUGAGCCAUUUAACAAGAACGGAUAGCCAAAAUUUGUUUUGCAAGUCUUUGGAAAUAAACAGCUAACCGAUAUUAUUAAUUUUUUUCUCAUAUCAAAACAUAUAUUUCUUUUUUUAAUGCUUAAUUUUUUAUUUAGUUUCUAUUAAUAUGAUUUAUUUAAUUUAUAAUAAAUAUAAAUAAAAGAGUAGUUGAAAAUAAGGGUAAUAUUGUAAACUUAUAUUGUCAUGGAGGUUUUUGGCCAUUAUAAAAACAACAUUGGUGAAAAUGGUAUAUGUUCAUUACUGUAGGGGGGAAAUUGGCAAUCUCCCAAUUAGAAAUUAGGUCACGAUUUUUUUUUAGCCGAUUAAGAUUUUUUUUAUAAAUGUUUUACAUAUAAUGACAGUUACAUCCAAAACCGUCAUUGUUAUUUUUUACUUAAAUGACGGUUCUUUACAACCGUCAUUAAUACUUUAAUAAGACAUAUAAUGGCAGAUUUUUAUAUAUAGUCGUAGUUAAAAAUCAGGUUAUAUUUUAUUUUGAUGUUUAAUGACAGUUAUAUAAUAGAACCGUUAUUAUAAAUAUUAUAUUUUUAAUGACAGUUUUUACACAAAAUCGUCAUUAAAAGUAACUAAAAGUAAAACUAUAUUUUAACUUGACACUUAAUGAUUGUUAUAUAAUUUAACCGUCGUUGUAAAUAUUACACAUUAAUGACUAUUUUUAUACAGAACUGUCAUUAAAAGUAAUUUUACCUAGACAUUUAAUAAUUGUUAUAUAAUAAAAUGGUCAUUGUAAAUAUUAGAUAUUAUGACGAUUCAUAUAAUAACGGUUAUCAAAUACUUUUAAUGACGGUUGUAAAGAAAAACCGUCAUAAUAUAUGAGUCAUUGUUUUGCAUUUUUGUAGUCGUGUUUUUACCCAAGGGUUUGGGGUUAAUUCACUAUAAGAAAACAAGUAAUAGAUGACAGACAGUUUGUGACAGAUUCGUAAAAAAAUUAUUUAUAUUAUAAAAAUAUGAUAGACUCGUGAUAUAAUUUCAGUUCUGGAUUAAUGAUGAUUUUAUGAUAAAAUUAUUGUCUAUCAAGAAUUCAUUUAUACAAAUUUAUUCCAUCAAGAAAUUAUGGUAAUUUCAAUAUAAUUUGUGCUGCUACUUAAUUAUUCAUUUUUUUCCCACUUUGUGUCUGUAUGUGUGUGUGUUCUUGUAGUGUUUGUGAACGGGAAGUUCUGCAAGGACCCCAAGCUUGCGAGAGCUGAAGAUUUCUUCUUCUCAGGGCUAGACAAGCCUGGCAACACAGCAAAUUGACUUGGUGUUGAUGAAACAGAUGCAAAUGUUUAGCAGAUUCCAGGACUCAACACCCUUGGCAUAUCAGCAUUCCGCAUUGACUAUGCGCCAUACGGCCAAAGGCCACCUCACAUUCACCCCCGUGCCAGUGAAAUCCUGCUGGUCCUGGAAGGAACUCUUCAUGUCGGUUUUGUGACAUCAGACCAGCUAAAUAACAAACUCAUCGCAAAAGUUCUGAAUAAGGGAGAUGUUUUUGUGUUUCCAAAAGGUUUGAUUUACUUCCAAUUUAACAUUGGAAAAACAAAAGCAGUUGCCUAUUCUGCUCUAAACAGCCAGUUCCCCGGUGAAAUUACCAUAGCCGACACGGUCUUUGGAACUUGUGCGAUGAGUUUGUUAUUUAGCUGGUCUGAUGUCACAAAACCGACAUGAAGAGUUCCUUCCAGGACCAGCAGGAUUUCACUGGCAUGGGGGUGAACGUGAGGUGGCCUUUGGCCGUAUGGCGCAUAGUCAAUGCGGAAUGCUGAUAUGCCAAGGGUGUUGAGUCCUGGAAUCUGCUAAACAUUUGCAUCUGUUUCAUCAACACCAAGUCAAUUUGCUGUGUUGCCAGGCUUGUCUAGCCCUGAGA